rnacentral:lncRNA from 1 species
GCUGUAGUGGUAGCACGGCCUGCAAAUGUGAGAUUUGCUCCACCACCUGCAGAGGAAGUUCACCAAGACUAAUGAGAACCUUUGAGGGAUGGGACUCUCUUGAGGGCUCACUUUUGGUUUGUAUUGAUCUGUAUGGGAAAUCUGCGACCUGCAGAAAGUGUUGUUGACCCAUGUCUUGCAACCUGCAGAAAGUGUUGUUGACCCAUGUCUUGAAAGUAUUUAUGUGAACUAGCUAAUUAUGGUGUUUAUGUCAUAAGUACAUUACAGCUUAACUUUGUAUAUGCUAUAUCCUGUUGCUGCUAGAUCUGUCUGGAUUUGAAGAUGAGUUUUGUAAUCUAUACAUAGAGGAAUGAAGGAUUGUAGUUAGUACGGGGUGCUUCUUGUGCAUUUGUUGACUAUUUUAAUUAUUAUAUUCCUUAACUUGUUGUAAGGACAACUCAUCGUAAGAAUAAUGUAUGAUCAUUAAAUAUGAGAAUUUAGGAUUAUAUUAUUAUCCAGUUACAAUUUUUUUUUUAUUACAAAUCAACACAAUUUUUAUUCUCCAUUUGAAAUAUGAAUAUGAAUAUUGCCAUUUUUUUUUUUUAUGAAAAAGGCCAAAAAGCCUCUUCUCAGAAUCUUUUCCCUGAAAUUUUGUUAAAUUACCUUUCUCUAAUAUUUAUCUUUCUGCCGGAUUCUGAUUUUAGUUUUUGGCACUUGGGGUUGUCUUCUUGUUCUGGCUCUGGAAAGAUUAGAAAGAAAAAUUGCGCACUAUUUCGUAAUUUCUCUUUAACGUCGAAUGCGUUUGCUGCUGAAAUAGUGGAAACUGAGAAUUGAGAAACCCACAUGACCAGCUCUUAACUUGUUUCAAAAGUUUUACCAUGUCAAGUUGUGAAUAUUAUUUCACAGCAAAGGUUUAUGCCAGCCGGGUUGUAAAAUUAAAAUUGUUUACAAGCAAAAUAAAAAAGGAUUUGUAUCGUUUGAAGCUGACGAUGCGAGAAGCAUUGGGCCCGAGAAAUAAAAAAGUAGAAGAAGAUGACGUCCGUCUCCUUUGUAAUUUUGCCAGUUGUUCAAAGAGACCAAACCCGAUACAACAGUAAUCCGACUUCAGUAAGAGUAAAAUCGGAAGAUGACGUGUAUCACCAAAGGCCAAAAAGGAAAGGGCAUGUAUAUCAUUUCAAAUUUCAUCGACCUUUCAGUUUCCCCACACAUCAUAAUAUCUAAACUUCUUUAAACAUGACAAAGUGAUAACUUCCACAUUGAGACAGACAUUAAAAAUCCCCCCAAUUUCACACUUUUGAACAAACAUAUUACAUGAAAUAACCAAUUCUUCACAUAAGCCAUGAAGAUAUCAAUUUUGAAAAAAAAAAAAAAAAAAAAAAAAACCCCUACCGCUAGCUGCAAACAUCUUCGUUAAUCCAUGCAAAAAAUAUAGCCGACACCAGGAGCUUCACCAGGAUAAUACAUCGGGAUUGUCUUUCUGGCUUUUGUGCUCAAGCCUGAAUCUCAACUCCAACUGCCCUCUUAACUCUCAAACUACUACAAACCUCUAGAAGUGGCAUGUUUGGCGAGGUCAGGGAGCAGAUGACACUUCAGACAAGGAGGAGCACGGCUACCGGAUGGGAUGAUAUUGGGCAGAAAUUCUCUUGGGAGGCAACUUGCGCAGGAUGUACAGGACUAGAGCAGAGGGUAGGAUCUCCACCAGCUGUUUGCACACAAUCCCACUUUUAGAUAAAUAAAUAAAUAAUAAGCAAAAAUAAAAUAAAUACAAGAAGUAGCAUAAUACCAUGUAGUAGAUCAAAUUCAAAACUGGAUGAUCCAUCACAUCCAGGGAAGCAUCUUUAUCAAAAGCAGAUAAAACCACCUGCAUUUUGGGAAUUUAGUUAACAGUGCAUGUGCAUCUGAGAGAUCCAAUUUAUGUGCAGCAAAUCCAAAAUAUAUUAAAGCAAACAUAGAACCCCAAUCUACAUUCAUUUUGGUCCUUGUCGAGCACUCAAUGAUCAUUAACCUUUCAGGCUUCUUUGUACUUGAAUCACAUGGUGACUCAACAAAAAUCACGAUGUCCUACAUAAAUAUCCAUCAUGAUGUUGAAGUAACUGGACUAUCUUUUUCCCCUUUAUGAAACUUCAACACCACUAAGGCACUAACUGAAAGCCAAGAUUGAAUCUUAUACUGCUCUGGAAACUUAGAAACAUUUGAAUAUCCAUCAUCACGUUGAAGUAACUGGACUAUUUUUUUUCCCCUUCACCCCCACCCCGCUCCCCCAAUUAAACUGCAAAAUAACUAAAGAGAUUCCUUUUGCUUUUCUCAAGUAAAUUUUAAAGAUAAAGAAAGAAAUUAUGAAAUCCUCUACCAUGAACUACAAAAACAAAGUAUCAAAUUAUCACCAUCUACCUUCUAUUCCAUUUUCUACUUCUACAAUAAGCAAGACGACCACAAUGGGGCACACACUUUUAUGCAGAUAUUUUGUUUUGUCAAAGUGGUCAAAUUGACAAACAUAUACAGAAAGUUCAAAUUAUUACAUUAUAUGGCAUGUAUGGGAUGUGCAGGAUGUGGAUUAGCUUCAUAAGCACUAAAAGUCUGAAACCUCUUGUAAACCUAAUUAGGAGGAGACAAUAUAGUUUGGAACAUACCACAAAGCAUCGUAUAAGGAAGCAAGUGAAGCAAAUGGCUGUCACAGAUCCAACCUGCAAAAAUAUUGCAUAUUGCAUCAAUCACACUACUUUAGAGCCAUCAAUAUCCCAGCAUGUUUUCUCCCAGAAACAGCAAAAAUGUUGCUUGACGCAAGGCAGGGUACCCAAAUUUGUACAGUGCAAAAAGAUCAUUUUAGAUCAGAGACUCCAGAGUUGUAUCUUCAAGAUGCAAUAGGCAUGUAAAAAUAUCCAUUCCAUAUAUCUCAUUCACCUCCACUACCAUGUUUAUGGUAACACAAAAGCUAUACACACAAGCAUGUGCAGGAACAGACACAACUACCUUCAUAGUAUUGGAAAGACUGUGAUUAAAUAAACCACAGUGCACUUUCCACAGAAUAGAGACACCAAAGUCACCAAACGGUAACAUGAUUAACUUCUAGAAGGAUUUGGCAGAUUCCAGACCAAACCAAACUUAAAAUGUCUUUACCAAAUCAUAAUCCAUGAAAGAAAUUAAUUAUAAGCAGAUCUAUUGCCAAAUUUGUUUUCCCCGGAAAAAUGCCAAAUUGAAAACCCAACAAAUACAUGCAUACACAUAUACAAGCUUCAUUCAAAGACACAAAAGCAGCCAAGGAUAUUGAGUCACAAAUGUGAUCCCAUAGAUUUACAAUGAAGGGAAGAACCAACCUCGUGAAGCUUCUUUCUUCUCCCUUUUGAUUCAAUCGGGAAGCGUCUCAGCAUGAAAAAUAAUCUACCAGCAUCAUAAAUGAUAAUGCAAAAGAUGGAGAUGUACAAACAAAAAGAAAGAAGCAAAUACAAGUGAGGAAAAGGAAUCGAAACCACUCUAAUGCUCUAACCACUACAUAUAAUUUGACAUGAAACCUCACCUUCCUCCAUAGAGCAAGAAGCCUAAUGCUGCAAUAAAUGACACCACUGAAAAACAAGUACCAUAAGUAUGUGCAUUUAUAUGAGAGCAGCAACAGUUAUAAUGCAUAGAUAAUCUAGAAAAAUGAAUGACAACUUGAAGUGCUAACCUCCAAUAUUACUGUAUGAAAAACCUAGUUAGAUUAGGAAACAAGAACUUACCGGCAAUAAAUAUCUUUCCGAUGAAUUCCGCUGCACUGCUGUCAUCUAUCCAGAGGUAAACCCAGAUGCAGACCUGUACAAACACUUCAUUUUGUAAAAUUUUGCUCAAGCUUGCUAGUAAGCAACAUCAUGAAUGUGGAUUGUAAGGGGCUGCUCAGCACAUGCUAGGAGUCUGGAGUACAAACUGUACUCCUAAAUUAACUCUCUAUCUGCAUCAUACUGUGCACUUUGAAUGCUUUUAGCACGACUUCUAAGGAAAACCAUUAAACAUUAAUCUCUUGGACAGCGAAAAACAAUCAUGUUUGUAAUAAAGGUUCUGAGGGGAUAAAUAUGUAUUUAUAUAUAAAUUUUUUAAUACUAACUCCAAAAGACUAUUGCCGAAACUGUCAACCUUUAUAGAAAACUAAGAAACUCAUUGGACAUUCUACCCAGAUAGGUAACUCCUAGGGAAUUUGAACCUUAGAUAUCUUGAUUGGAAAUAUAAAUACUAUCACUUUAAGUUUGAUUAUGGGCUUGCAGUUGACUAUGCUGCAUGCAGAAGUGGUUACAAGAAUGUUCAACCUCAUAUUGCGUGCAAGGACUACAAAGGGAAUUUAGAAAUUUCAAAGUAAUGCUAGCAAAUGUGCUCCUAUGCUACUUCCUCAUAGAAGUUAGUGAGAAAUUCUGUACGUAUGGAUUUGAAUGUUCAGAUAUCAUUUUUCUUCCAAAAUUUCAACCAUUUUCAAGAUGAUAUAACCAAUAGGCAUGCCUGCCUUGUGAAGUUGUACUUCUAAGUUAUAACUAUGUGCAAUAAACCCUACAGUGAAUAAAUAAACAGAAAUUACAGUAACUGCUCUAGAAUCCAAAGAAUAAACCAGCUAUAAGAUUUACAUAAAUGUCAAAACCACAGCAGUAUAAGACAACUGGUGAAAGUGAGAUGGACCAUACCUGUAUGAAGUAUAUUAUUCCAUUGACUGAGAUAUAAAAAAUCCUGAGUUUAUCAGUUGGUAAGCUUCUUGCCUGUCAAUCCGUUAAUAUGUUAAUAUUUCCUUGAAUAGUAUUAAAAAAAAAAAAGGAAUCAUACAAGCUUGCAAAUAAUCUAAUGGCAUCAUAAAAAAAUUAGUUACUUGCCUGGUGAUAUAUCUCUGCCCAAAAGAGGACAAGUAGUGUGUAUGUAGAGAAAAACAACAGUCCCGGAAGAUCCAAUACUACAAGCGUAAGCACCUGGUUCAAUAUACAGCAGCACUAUGUCGUAAGAAGGCCUUGGACAUUCUAGAUGCCAUAUUAUGGCAGGCAAAAGUAAAGUGUCAUCUAAUUCAAAUCAACGAAGAACUAUGACCCCAGAAACUUUAUUUACCAGUAGUUUAGAAUGUUAGCACAAGUACAGAAAGCUCAGAAAAAUGCACAAUGUUUCAUAAUUAAAGUAUAUCAUACAGACAAUGCUAUGGACUGAAUAAACAGUAAGGAAUAUAUCAAGAAAAUUUUUACUAUUUGUUCAUACACUGAAAAAAGAAAUUUUUUUUUAAGGAUUUGAAAGCCAAAGCAUAUAUGGUUGAUCAAGAAUAGAAUUGCAAUUUAUCAGAACUACAGCAAACUGACCUUGGGAUGCAAAAGAAACACUUGCAUGUGAAACCCAAAAACAACUGCACGUACUGUUACAGUAAAAAAGAAGACAAAAUUCAAAGUCAAAUUAGUUCCCAAUAAAAUAAAAUGAGUGACGACAAUCACAAUGUCACAAAGACUCUAGUUAUCACCUCCAUUUACAAUGAAGUUCAUAAGAUGAAAGACCUUCUGUGUUGUCCAACCAUAUUCAGGCACUCUCAACUCAAUCCUUAUUAAUUGUAUCUGCUCAUCAUAAACAUCAAUCAGAAAACCUCGUCAUUCACGUCAACUAAUCUAACCACAAAAUCACAGCACGCAGAAGCAAACAUGUCUUACAAACUGUAAUUAGACUUGAAUUAGAACAACAGUAGCAUUUCCUAAUUUUCAAGAUGCUCGUGAAGAACACACACAAAUAAUAAUAAUAAUAAUAAUAAAAGAAAAAAUUGCCAUGCAUCAUCCGAAAUUUAAGAUGAAUUCAAUAAUUAUGUACAGUAAAUACACAAAGAUGUUAUUAAAUGAUUCGAUUUACAUAAAAUCAAAUCUCAAAACAACAAAACAUGAUCAUACAAGAAGAGAGAAAGAGAGAGAAUAACCAGAGCAACAGAGGAUACAAGCGCGUAAGCGGCACAGAGAGAGUAGAAGAUCCCGUCCUGCCACUGAGACGACUCGUUGAUCUCGGCCCACCAGCUCGUGAGCACAGUUCCGAACUCGGAAGAGGAUGAGUUCAGUGGCAUUCCCGUAAUUCUCCUCAUUAUCUACAAACUUUUCGCGAGCUCUCCCGAGGAAGUCAAAACUCCUUUCUCUUCGCCAACAAGUACAAACUCCAGCCUUUGAGAAGCCAAGAAACGUGGACACCAGCCCAAACACGAAACUACGAAUUACCAAUCGCGGAGGAAAUUUUUGAAAGAAGUAAAAAUAAUUGUGUGACUUGGUAUAACUCUACCAGAUGGACACGGCGCGUCCCUCACCUAAGUUUCUACGAGAUCAACGAAUGAGAUUAGUUGUUAUUUGUUCUUAUUUUGGUAAGAUUUUUACACCUGUCACGUUUUGAUUUGUUAUUGAUUUCUCUGCGUUCGACACGUGGUAAAAACUGUGCUACAAGUGUUAGUUUAUUAAUUUUUUUUUCCUUUCAAUUGGUUUAUUGCUAAUUUACUACAGUGAGGUGAACAUAGUAGAAAGUGUCUACUAUUUUCUUUUGUGUCUUUUUUCAUUUUAACUAAUUGCAGAAAAAUGGCGUGUAAUUGGUACCGGUGUAAUUACUAAUUAGGCGGCAAACAAAUUUAACGAUAUUAUGUUAAGAAGUAAUUUUUUUAUAUUAUAUUAAAUAAUACAAAUAUUAAGGAAUUGAUGGUAUGUUAAAAAAUGAAUUUAAAAAUUUACAAUAAAUUUAUUUUUAUUUAAUUGUUUAUAAAAUUAAUUUUAUAUGAAUCAGAAAAUAAAUUAAAUUAAAAAGAAGAAUUAUAAAAUUUUCAUGAAUAGAAAAAUUAAGUUAUAAAACGAUAUUUAAAAUAGUUCCAAGCAUUUUCAAAUACUUUAUAAGAUUAUAUAUUACUUCAUACUUUUCAUCUGACGAAAAUAAUUUUAUAUCACUUAAAAAACUACAUUAUUGAAACAUAUAUAUUAAAAAAAAAAAGUCAAAGGUGACCAAUUUUGUGGCACAAGAAUAUGAUGAUCGCAGGGGAAGAAAAAUUAAAUUUGAGUAGGAGAGAAUCACGUGUUGAAGGUGAGAGUGAGGAGAUGCUCCUAGAGAUUUUCCCUUGGGCAAUCAGUGAGGGGCCCACCGGUCAAAGAGUCUAGGGAAGGAGGGUUGUUUUAACAGCUUGCGAUGUGAAGUUUCCUCACCGUCCAGCCAUCACCUCACCCAACGGCAAUCCGGCGAGGACGGUUAGUCGGUACUCGGUUAGUCGGCGCGUUUGGACUUUGGUUUUAUGGUGACGUAUUCAUCAUACACUGAUUACAUAUUUAUUAUAUCCAUCUACUAUCUAAUUGAAUAUUUUAAUUAAAAUUUAUAUCUAAUUCAAAAUAUUUUUAAUGAAUAUUAUUCAAUUCAAUUUAUAUGAAUAUCCAAUUUCAUGGAUCAAUUUCCCAAUCUCUAUAUUAUGUACAUAUCUCUAUCUAUGCGUCAAAAAUAAUUUAAAAUUAUACUACUUAUGAUAACAAAACCUAUGGUUCGUGAAUGACACUUUUAUUUUGAAAGCACAGCUUCUCACAACAAUGUCCAUUGAAGCUUAUGCUUACAAUGGAAACACAAAAAUAAUGAGAUUUACAUAAUUUUUAUCAAAGAUUAAAUCGAUAUGUUUUUCAAAUUUAUAAAUAAACCUUAUUCUUGAGUGAAUGAUAUUCUCAUUGUUUGUGCUCGAUAAUUGACCACAUGACAUAUAAAUUACAAUCGACAUGAGUGGCAGUACUAAGAAUUCAAUCUAACAGGGCUAAGUUCAAACAAGAAAAAAUUAAUGAAUACAAUUUAUCUAUUUUAGUAUCAAUUAUUUUUCUUAUUAGCUUACCAACCCCUUUUAAUUUUGAAAAUUUGUUAUCAUAAUUCACAUUCAUAAUGUAAACAUCAAGUUGAAUUUUAAGUGCUAUAAAAUUGAUUGAAGAAAAACAUUUGGAUAAAUUUAGUAACAUGAAAUAGUUUUUGUUUUUUUGUACGAGAAGAGGUAGGACCCAAGGGAAUUCAAAAUAACAAUAUUUCUUUGUAGGUUGCAAGCGUAAAAACAAAUACUUUGAUAUUUUAAUUAUUUUUAAAAUUUAACAGAAAUUUUUAUGAUAAAUCAAAUAAAAAAUUAUACAAAUAUUAAAUUAAAUUUAUUAAUUUUAAAAAGUCAAGGACUUUAAUCUUUGCCAGCCCUAAUAUGGCACCGCAACUGAUCGACAUAUCUGUGCCAUUUUCAUUUUUUUUUUCCUUCACUUAUAUUUACUCUUGUAGUGAAGUACGAAUUCCAUCCAUUCAAGAAAAUGAUUAUGCAACCCAAGGACUUCGAAGUGUGACUAAUGAGUAUUACUUCUUUUUAAAUUUGGCUAAAAGAAGACUGGAUACUUCAAUUAAUUAAAUAAUUGGUCAUUGUCUCAAGUUUCCAACCAAUUUCACAUAAAAUAAACAAAAGUCUUUAUAUAAAAAGAAAGGAUAAUGUUCUUUAGUCAUAUCAUUAAUCUGCCGACUGUGAUAAACAUAUUUUUUUUAUUUAUUUUAAGGAGAUAAACAUCUUAAGUAGUAGUAGAUUGACAUGAUAGCACCAAAAGAUAACGAUGCAAACCAUAGUCAAAUAAAGAUAAAGUUUCGAUUUACUCGUAGAUUGCAUGUUUUUUAUCUUAAAAUUAAGAAGUAAACAGGCAAUAACCAGAAAUUUUUUUUUUUUUUGGUUCAAAGGCAAAUACUAGCAUUAUGAUGAUUAUACUCGGAAUAUUAAGAAGGGAUAUUAUCAUUUUUCCACCAAAAGUAUUCUGACACAUCAUGUCAGUACCACAGUUUGGUAAAACUAUCAAUUUACCACCAAACGUUUAAACUGUUAGCAUUUUCCCACCAUUCCGUUAAAACUCAGUUAAUAUGUAACGGAAAAUUUUUAAAAGGUCAAUUUUACCCCUGGAACAUAAAAGACCAUAUAAUUAACCUUUUAUGAAUUUUGUAAUUAAAUCAUCAUUUGUUGUUCUUCAUUCUUAAAGGACAAAAAUUACCCUUUAUAAAAUUUUUUAAAAUUGACCAUGAGGUGCUAGGUACUUCAUAAAUUGAUUUAAUUGAUUUAAUUUUUAAUUUAUUUAUUAAAUUGACGAGCUAAAGCCAAUUUAUUCUACUACUAAAAAUCAAUUUAUGAAGGGGAAAAAAAGAUUGUGCAAAAGAAGUAAUUUUAUCUUUGAUAUGAUGAUAAUAAUUUUACACAAAAAAAUUAAAUAAAUAAAUUUACCCUUUAAAAAUUAAAUAAAUUAAAUUAAUUUAUGAAGUACCGAACACCACACGGUCAAUUUUACAAAAUUUAUAAAGGGUAAUUUUUUUCCUUUAAGAAAGAAGAACCAGCAAAUGAUGAUUUAAUUACAAAAUUCAUGAAAGGUUAAUUACAUGGUUUUUUAUGCUCCAGGGGUAAAAUUGACCUUUUAGAAAUUUUAUGUUACAUAUUAACUGAGCUUUAACGGAAUGGUGGGAAAAUGCUAACAGUUUAAAUGUUUGGUGGUAAAUUGAUAGUUUUACCAAACCGUGGUACUGACAUGAUAUAUCAGAAUACUUUUUGUGGAAAAAUGAUAAUAUCCCUAUUAAGAACGCAAAACAAUCAAUGCAAACGAUCAUAUUCAAUAUUUUUAAGUACAAAAUUUAUUCUUAAUCAAUGUUGACUUUACACUAAUAAGUUACAAAGACAAAACUAUUAAAACAAAUUUAAUUAAAAUUAAAAGAAUGAAUGCAAUAAUAUGACAAUUAAGAAUUCUAUGUUUAUAGGUGAAAUGCCCCAAAAAUAUUGUUUAAAUCAAAUAUAAAAUAAUUUUAAGUGAUUAGUUUACGUGUGGAUCCGUGGCGCAAUGGUAGCGCGUCUGACUCCAGAUCAGAAGGUUGCGUGUUCGAUUCACGUCGGGUUCAAUCCCCUGAAACCAAUCAUACAUUUUUUUUUUUUUUAAAUUCGGUUCAGCCCCAAGUGUUGCAGAAAUUUAGCGGCACGAUUCUCGCGGCCGCGCCGUCAACCUCGACAAGCAAAGACGACACACGCCUCGCUAUUACUUUGUUGAAAAUUGAUUUAAAAAAAAAAAAAGUGGCUUCAAAUGUGAUGGCUAAUCCACCAAUUUUGAAUAGGAUCGUUUAAGUAGAAGCAUACAACAUAGAAUUGGGCAAUCCUUUGUUGUUUGAUAAGUACUGGGCAGUCAUCUAUAGUGAACAAAAAAUCCUUUCUUCAGAGUUGCUGGUAACAUAGUGUAAUUUGGUCGGUUGCCGGCAUCAUUAAGGACAUGAGAAAAUUUACGCUGAAGAUCUGGACUCUUUUUCGAUUUAAUUUCGCAAGGUGUUGUUGUUCAGAAGACAAUGCAAAAUAAAUAAAAUGAAGUGAAACAAGUGUGUUAAAAUAUUUUUUGGUAGAGCUUACAAGGAAAAGAUAAGUCAAUUUACUUCAACUAAUGAAAACUCAAAUUUUGAGAUUUUAGUAGUAGAGAUUGAUUUUUUUUUAAUUAAAAUGUUUAAAAUAUUUUUUAUUUAUUUGAUAGUUUUAUUUUAUUUUUAUAGUAUAAUUUUAAAAAAUUUAUCUAUUCAAAAUUUUUAUAAUUUUCAAUAAAAGUUUACGUUGACAAUUUUAAGCAAUCAAUUUUUUUUAGAUAAAAUCUCUAUUUUAAAAGUUUUAUUAACAAAAUCUUUACUUAAAUAAGUAUUAUUUAAAAAAUUAUACUGUAUAAAGUUUCACUUAAAUAAAUUUUAUUUAAAAAGAUAUACAAAGCAAAAUUUAAAAUUACAUUUUCUUAUUCACAAUUUAUUUUAUGAAUCAUGAAAUUCACCGUACUGUUAAAAAAAUAUUUUAUUUUAUAUUUUGAAAUUUACUUAAACAUUAACAAACUGCAAAUAAUUAAAUAAUUAAAUAAUUUUUUGAUAAAAAUAAAUUAUUAAUUAAUUAUAGUAAAGCGGAAUAUUGGAGUAUGGAAAAUGUUUAUUUAUUUAUUUAUUACACCUGUCACAUGCUACUCAGUAACAUGCCUCAGGCAUAGUAGUUCUCUCUAGUCAGAAGGAGAAUGCCGAAGCGGCUCUAAUCUCUCCUCUAACCAGUGCAUAUGCAUAAGAGUGCGCGAGACAGGGAUCCAGCCGUCUACAACCGUCUACACAAGGGAGGGUACUUUAAACUUGAGGGUGCUCAAGUAGCUAAUUUUAAAAUUUCACAGAAUUUUUAAUAUUAUUACAAACCUCAGCACCCACUCUGUAGUUUCUUUUCAUUGUUCUCUAUCUGAAAACCCAAAACCGUUUCUCUUUAAUUUUGAUUAAAAAAAAAAAUUUCUUUUUUUUAAAAAGAAAAAUGGCCUUACUUUAUCGCCUCCGUACAAAUUUUAACCUGAAAACUGUAAAUUACCGUAAUCUGGCCACGUCAUCACUGCUCUCGGCCGGCGACGAGGCUGCGGCGUUGACUAUCAAGGAAAAGAAACGCGCCACUAUAGCUCGUUUGAAAUCGGAGUCCAAUCCAUUUAGGAUCCUGGACAUCUGCUGCGGCGCCUCGCUCGCACCGGAGUCUCCCCUGGACCGCAUGGCCUUCUCAAUCGCCGUAUCGAAGCUAUCCCAGGCCAAUCACUUCAACGCCAUCUCUCAGUUACUCGAAGAGCUCAAGACCCGACCGGAUUUGCGACAAAACGAGCGUUUCCACGUUCACUCCAUCGUCCUGUACGGCCAAGCCAACAUGAUCGACCACGCGAUGCAGACUUUUGAGGAAAUGGAUAAGUACGGACUUCGUCAGUCCGUUGACGCCUUGAACGCGCUGCUAUUAGGUUGCAUUUUAUCAAAGAAUUACGAAGAAGUUAAACGGAUAUUUACGGAGUUUCCGAAAGUUUACGGAAUCGAGCCGAAUUCUGAGACCUACAAUAAGGUUAUUAAGUCGUUCUGUGAGUCUGGUGAUUCGAGUUCUGUGUAUUCAAUUCUGGCUGAGAUGAGAAGAAAAUCCAUUAGACCAAACGCGACGGAUUUUGGGCUUUUGCUAGCUGGGUUUUAUAAAGAGCACAAGUAUGAAGAUGUGGGUAAAGUUUUGCAAAUGAUGGAGAAAUGUGGGAUUGCAUCUGGGGUUAAUGUUUAUAAUAUAAGGAUUCAGAGUCUUUGUAAGUUAAAGAGGUCUGAAGAGGCCAAGGCAUUGCUCGAUGGGAUGUUGUCCAGAGGAAUUAAGCCCAAUUUGGACACGUAUAAGCAUUUGAUUCAUGGGUUUGGCAAGGAAGGGAAUCUCGAAGGAGCUAAGAAGUUGUUUGCGAGUAUGAUUAAUGGAGGGUGUGAACCAGAUAGUUAUUGCUUUUUUAUGUUCACUUAUUUUCUGUGCCAAGGGGGGAGUAUGAGACAGCGCUGAAGGUCUGCAGGGCCAGUAUGGCAAAGGGUUGGGUGCCGCAUUUCUCAACUAUGAAAUCAUUGGUGACUGGACUGGCCAGUAUUUCCAAGGUUGCUGAGGCGAACGAGCUUAUUGGACUAAUGAAGAAGAGGUUCCCCAAGAGUGGCGAUAUGUGGAAUGAUAUUGAAGCUGCCUUGCCUCGGCAGUGAAGACAAAUUAUGGUGUGCAAUUUACUUUGGUAAUUGUAGAUAGAUUGAAUUCAUCAUUUAAAACUUUUAAUAAAGCUCAAUUUUAGGCUAAGAAUCUAAUGGAAUAGUUCAAGAUAAUGUUAAGUCAUUGACCAUAUGACACAAGUUUAUGUGUAGCUAUUGACUUGGCCCUAUUUCAUGAUUUGUAAAAGAAUAAUUGAAAUCUGUUUUAGUAUAUACAUCAUACAUUCAUAGAGAUAGAAGUGCAAGAAAGUGAAUUCAAUUUUGUUACUUAGAAAGAAGAGUGAAUCUUUAAUUUGUCUAAACUUGGUUACAGCAUUUUUAUCAAUGGGAGCUCGUGGCUUCCACCAUUAAUUUUUACACAUUCUUUUUGGUGAUAUUGAGUUUGUGGAGGCAUUGGCUAUUUUGAAUUGUCAGAGGAAGCAGGGUUGUUGCCUCUUAUUGUUGAACCAUAAUUCUUGAAUGUUAUCGAACUAAUCUUACUAAAGAUUUCCAGCAGAUGCGUCAUUGGUUGGCUGGUCUCGGAGAUCCACGAUGUCAUGGUGGAGAGAAACCUUUUCAUGCCUCAUAACUAUUCCUAGAUCAUGACUCACGAGAUGAGGUUUAUCUCAAUCUGGCCAAAUUGGUUUUGGCAAAGGAGUCCUUAAUCUGGCUGGAGGAGUCACCUCCAUUUGUGCCUUGUAAUUCUUCUCAUCUUCUAAAAACUUGGUAAAGCAUGCACUGGUGUAAAGAAAAGACUGAAUGAUAGCCUACAGAGCUGGUUCUGUUAUGAAUUCUUUGAGCAAUACUCAGUUCAUCACCAAAGCUAACAACUUGCUGAUCUGUUUCUUCUAUACUAAAGUUGGUUCCGGCAAAAAGAAAGCUGGUUCAAGCUCAAUGCUUGUGGUUGUGUCAGGCAGCUUUCAAGAUCCUGCAAUGCUGUUGGCACAUACACGGGGCGAAUUUGACUUUUACGAAUGAGGAGCAUUUUGUUUUGUCUAUCCAUUUGCUGUAACCUUUUCUAUGUGUUUUAACGAGGCUGCAUAAAGCAUUUUGAUUUAGAAAGAUUAAUGAUUGCAAAAGUUGGUCGUUGUCUCAAAUUUACGUGAAUGUGAUUUUGAGAGCGGAGUUCUAUGGAUAGGUGGCGGUAUAAGGCAGGGUUUUAAAUAUUACUAAUUUAAGUAAUUAAUGUGGACAAGAACAAACAACAGGAUCCGUGGCGCAAUGGUAGCGCGUCUGACUCCAGAUCAGAAGGUUGCGUGUUCGAUUCACGUCGGGUUCAAUCCCCUUAGUGGAUCAUUUUUUUUCGUCUGCUUCAAUCAGUUUGCUCGCUAUGUUUACAUCUGCCGCUUUCUUAUAUCACCACCGUCCAUCACACGGAUCCUCUGCUUCACUCUGUAGUGCUCUUCUCUAAAAGACUAAAACCCAGAACCCUAGCUCUCUCUCUUUCGUUUCCAAUCAUCAAUAUUAAAACGAAUAGAAUGGCUUUAUUUUCCCGACUUCGAACGAACCUAAACCUGUUCUCACAAAAACAUCACCGCUACUUGGCCACGUCAUCUAUCCUCUCCUCCGGCGACAAAACGCCCUUGACCAGCAAGGACAAGACACGCGCCGCUCUUACUCUGCUAAAAUCGGAAUCCAAUCCAGAAAAGAUCCUCGAAAUCUGCCGCGCCGCCGCCCUCACGCCGGAGUCCCACCUCGACCGCCUCGCCUUUUCAAUCGCCAUCAACAAGCUAUCAGAAGCCAAUUACUUCAAUGGCAUCUCGCAGUACCUCGAAGAGCUCAAGACCCGACCCGAUUUGCAAAACGAGCGCUUUCACGCUCACUCGAUCAUCCUGUACGGCCAAGCCAACAUGACCGAGCACGCCGUCCGGACAUUUAAGGAAAUGGACGAGCAUAAACUCCGUCAUUCGGUUGGGGCUUUCAACGCUUUGUUGUUGGCUCUCACGAUAGCCAAAGACUACAAAGAAGUUAAACGGGUAUUUAUCGAAUUUCCCAAGACUUACGGAAUCAAGCCGGAUUUGGAUACCUACAACAGGGUAAUUAAGGCGUUUUGUGAGUCCAGUGAUUCAAGUUCUGCGUACUCGAUUUUGGCUGAAAUGGAUAGGAAGUCGAUUAAACCAAACGCCUCGAGUUUUGGAGCUUUGGUGGCUGGGUUUUAUAAGGAGGAGAAGUAUGAAGAUGUGAAUAAAGUCUUGCAAAUGAUGGAAAGAUAUGGGAUGAAGUCUGGGGUUAGUAUGUAUAAUGUGAGGAUUCAUAGCCUUUGUAAGUUAAGAAAGUGUGCAGAAGCCAAGGCAUUGCUUGAUGAGAUGUUGUCUAAAGGAAUGAAGCCGAAUUCAGUCACUUAUAGCCAUUUCAUUUAUGGGUUCUGCAAAGAUGGGAAUUUUGAAGAAGCUAAGAAGUUUUAUAGGAUUAUGAGUAACAGUGGGUUGUCGCCAAAUAGCUCUGUAUAUUUUACUAUGGUGUAUUUCAUGUGUAAAGGUGGGGAUUAUGAGACAGCACUGGGCUUCUGCAAGGAGAGUAUAGCGAAGGGUUGGGUGCCUAAUUUCACGACUAUGAAAUCAUUGGUGACUGGGCUGGCUGGUGCUUCCAAAGUCAGUGAAGCAAAGGAGCUUAUUGGCCUAGUGAAGGAGAAGUUCACCAAGAAUGUGGAUACCUGGAAGGAGAUUGAAGCAGGCUUGCCUCAAUAGUGAGUAUGCAUCGUUUUAUUGUUUUCCAUUUCAUGAACAAUGAUUAAGAUUAGGAUCUGGGAAUAUUUUAUAGGAUCUUCCAGUCUAGAGAUUUUGUUUAAUUUGUUGAAUCAUUGAGAUAGGUAAAAGUAGUUCUUGAAGCUAUCUACAGACGGGUCGGAGGAUAUGCUUCCCAAGCUAUGAAACUUGCACCAUGACUUAUUUUUAUGCUUGUAGACCUGAUUUAUUGUCUGGCAUCAUGGUUAUGAUGAUUUUGGCAAUUUUAGCAUAUGAUAUGGAGUACAAAUUUUGGUUAAAAUGUCAAUUUGAUUUUAAAGGUUCGCUUUCAUGUGAGAGUCUUGCUUUCCAAGAUUGUUGUAUGUAAUUUCUAUGCUUCGGCAUAGUUUGAAUGCACCACAGCUAAUGUGAUUGGCAAUCACUCUUCUCCCACCCUCUUAACUUGACUGCUUGCAAUUUGAUUUCCUUGCUACCAUGGCUGCAUCUCAAUCCCAAACAUACAAUGAUUUGACUAGAACUUCUUUCUUUAUUGUGUGUUUUAGGACCUAAUAUUUUAGGGUGAAGCAGCACGAUAUAAUCAUAGUAGAUCAUAGUAGACCUCUCAUUACACCUUCCCUUCCUUGAGAUGCUCUCUAGUUCUCCUCUUGAUGUUCCCUUCAAGGUUAAGGGAAUGGAGAGAAAACCGAGUGAAAAAGAUUUUGGUACUAAAUGCUGCAUCAAGCGUAAGAUUACAUAUCCCAUUAGAUAUUUAUCAAUCACUCCAUAUUAAAAGUCGGACAUCUUUCUCAUUUUUAAGAUCAGACAUACAUAACACUGUUCCGACAACACAAUAAUCCUCCUGGGCCAGGAAUAUUCAACUUCCUUUUUUUCCCCCCUCUUGCAGUGAAAGUUAGAAAAACAUAUCGGUGUAUCACUAAAGAGAAAAUUAACCUUAUCAAAUAACUAUCAAUUCAUUAUCUGACCCAAAAAGAAAUACUAUCAAUUUCAUUAGCAAACUUUGCUUUCUCAGUUCCUCAUGUGGGUUUUCGAGCAAACUUAGGCCAUUGAUACGCAAACCUAUUCAAUACAGUAACUCAAAUACUCAAAUUACGUCUUUAAUAAAACUCAAACGUAAAACAAGAUUUUUGUUAUCUGCGCCAACUUCAUGGCAUGUUAUUUGGGAAGUAACCGGCUGAACGGCAUCUGCCUAACAUUUUUGUUUCCAUGAUGCCAUUGCUUUGGCCAUUGCUCGGCUUUACACAAGGAAACUAAUUAUCAUCAGUUCGGGGAACUCCAAUUACAUUCUGGGAAAAUUCAAUUCCAUGACUAACUGAAAAGCAAGAAAGCUUUGAUCAGCUACUUAUAUCCUUUAGCUUGACCAUGGCGGCAUUACACCUUUGCUACCAAAAGUUCAGUGUAACAGCCGAUUCGUCCACAACAUUUUGAGCCUUAUCCAUGUUUAUAUGCAUCCUCUUGAGUCUUGACAGUAUAAUCAAACGAUAAUUACUGUAUUUAUCAAGACCCAGAUAAUGUGAUGAUACAAAAUAUUCUUAUUGAAGCAAGAGGUAGAGCAAGUCCAAAAAAGAUAAAUAGAUUAUAGAACAUGCCAAGAAAUUACAAGCGAAUGGAAGAAAUUUUGUGAUUCAGCACACAUCCGGUCUCGACAUUGACAAGGACUUCAUCACAAAGCCCUACCCUUUCACGGCCUCUUAUUUUCUUUUCAAUUCCCAUUUUGAGGUGUGCUAUCCAAACUCAAAUAUCUGCAGACUUGACCUCCUUUCCUCAGCUUUAAGCCUUAAUAGCUUCACAUUUCCCUAUGGCUUAGACAUUGAAUCCAAUAUGAAUUAUUCUCUCUUUUUUUGGGGGGGCCUAGAUAGCAACAAUGCUAUCAUAGGGCACAGCCAGUCCGCAACAAGAGGGUCUACAGUCUGAAAUGGCUUUAAAAAAUUCAACGAAAAAAAUCCCUGGCCUCUCUAAUGGAUGCCACAAAAUUAGAACUCUUUUUGCAUCAGUAAAAAGACCGGCACCCAUUACCUUUAGAACCUCAUUAUAGCCCCGGGCGACCAGCCAUUUUUACUGUACAGUUCGUGUCGUAACAAUUCAGAACUACAAGUUCCUUGACAUCAAGGUGGAUUUCUUCCUCAUGUAUUGUACACCAUAUGCUGCAGUAGAAGCCACUGUAGUUGAAGCUACCAACAAACUGCACCAGAGACACUUGAUGUUAAAUUUAUCAACCUUGUUAAAACAGAAAUAUCCUUGGUUGUUGUACUACCUCAAGUAUGUGAUUACAGGUUGAGUUUCUGGAGUCCCAAACUCUGGUUGAAGAAGAGCUGCAGCAACUAAAACCAGCUGGAAAACUGUAUUAACCUGCCAUCAGUUAAGGUCCUUGUUAGAAACUAGAAGAUUUUGGCUAAAUAAACACUCACAUGAGCCAGCUUUCAUGUUUUGUGCAAAAUUUUUCCCCUUACAUGAAAGUUUUACCAAAUGCCUACAGGUAGUCAGCUUAGGGAUGUCCCAACUAUGGGAACACAAGAUUAAUUUGGAUUCUGUCUCUACCGUAUAAGAUAUUAAAAUUUCAGUUCUAGAACACACAGGAAUUACCUUAUGUCAUAUUCACUCUUACGAAGAGAAAUAAAUUAUCCUCCCUAAAUUUUUAGAGUGAUAACCAAAUUAACCUCUACAAUGAAUUCUAAUGUCAAUGCCUCCUAUUUAUAGCCAAGGGUUUAAAAUAAUAAAAUAACAAACAAGACUACAUUGACUUCAGCGGAGACAUGCACCAAUGUUGGCUGAAUCCAUUACUGAUGAAGAGACAAAAUCAUGAAAAUUACCUUGCUCAGAAAGAGAGGUUCAACCUUCUGGGGACAGGUUCCAUCAAGGUUGACAAAAUCAGACCAGCUUUUCCACUGAGAGAAGACAUCAAAGUUUCCAACCAGGAGUUUAGUUAAUUUACUACUCAAAUCAUCAUACCGAAAUAAAAAAAAUUGCCCAUAAACAAGGUUCAAAAUUAGGUAAUCUCACCUUCCAUUCCAAGAUACUAGCUCUUUGAUAAAGAGCACCGCCAACUAGAGCAACAUCUCGCAACACAACAAGUCCAACAAGUCCAGCUUCACAACAGAAAAACCAAACAGAAUCACUAACCCAAGACAGACAGAGAACAGUUUUAUACUACAUUCAGGGAAAUGGGUUUGCACUAAUGCUAUCAUUGCCUGUUUAUUUCAAUUUUUUCUCCUUCUCAUAAACAUCAGAUCUUCUUCAGCAGCUGAAACAAAAUAAAAUGAGGGAAAAAGCCAAGAUAACUUACGGUGAAGAAGAUCCACAUGUACCAUUGCCAAAGCAACACAUCCAAUAAGAAUCUGAGUAUACCAAAAUCAUAUUAUCAAACAAGGAUUAACCCCUUAUUUUAUCCUAAUAAAAGUAACCAGUCAAUAGAAAUACUAAAUAACAUUAGGCUUAGCUACAAAUGAACUUUUACCUUGUCGGCAAGAGGAUCAAGGUAUGAGCCAACUACAGAAUCAAUUUUCAUCCUCCUAGCAAUAUAUCCAUCUAGCUACACGACGAAAUACAAAUGAAAAUCAAUAUCCCAUAUUUUGGAAAACUGUAAAUAGUUUCCAUACAUUAAAAAAUCAUCUUACCCAGUCGGUUGCUCCAGAGAUAGCCAACGCCACAAGUGCUGAUGAAUACAUUUCAUUUGUGAUCAUCCUGGAAUGAAACUUGUUAAUCACCCUUCCCCUCUAAUCCACGGAGUGACAGAUUCAUUCAUAGAAGAAAUUAAAGAAACAAAGGUCUCAUAAAUAACAAAUGCUGAAACGACAAACAUAAGAAACUACAAGUUGAUGCCAUCAACAUUGCCUCAAAGAAAAGCAUCCUCCAUGAAUUGUACUAAAAUUAUAGUAUAGAUGGCCUUUUAAUUUCCUCUCAUUUUACCCCAUUAUCUAAAAUUCUACUCACUACUUUUUUUUCUUCUCUCAUUUUUUACAGCAACCAAACGAAACAUAAAGAACAAUACUUCAUCCUCAAACAACGACAGCAAAAUCAAAAGUUUUAGAAAAAUAAUAAUAAUACAAUCAAGAGAAAACAAAACAUAAUACCAAGCAAUGAAAGGCCCAGAAACCAAACGACUCAUGGAGACCAAAUUCGGCAAAUUCACGAAACUCUUCACUAGGCCACGUCUCUCCGCCUCUUCCUUUGACCAGACCGGGUCCACCACAUUCGGUCGGUGAAAACCCAACGCGGAAGGAAGAUUAGUGUGACCCCGAAUCAAGUCGAAAUUCAAGGCCUGAACUUUCCUGAGAACGACACCGUUAAGGGGAGUGGCGGAUUGGGAAAGCUUCCAGGGAGGGGAGGACAGGAAGAGAGGGCCCUGAAACGGAGCGAUCCAUUUGGAGAAUGGAGGUCUGUGAGAGAGAUGGGUGCAAAACGGCGGCGUUAGAAACAGAGCGGCGUUAUUGGCAGUGCCAGUGCCAGUGGCAGUGAAGUACGGGAGGGUUUUGCUCUUUGAGCUUUUGGCGAUUAUGUUUUUGAUGGAUCUAAAGAUCGCCAUUCUUGAUCAUGAAGCAUUCAUUAUACUAAUUUGAAAUUCGUAAUUCGUCUUUUUUUGAAAUUUCUGCUCUUCGGUUGCUAAGGUUUUAGGGAUACGUGUCCGAGUUUACACGUGGUUUGCGUUGACGCUUACACGUGCAAGCUGCCCGAGAGGGUUUUUCACCUUGUCUUCUUCCACACCGUAAACUUUGACGCAGUUCGCAUUGUUGAAUAAAUUUAAGAGUUGCAUGCUCAUCCUAUGUUUAGUAGAAUACUCUCUUGCCCUAAUUCAUAAAUUUUUACGUAAAAAUUCUUAGAUUUUUCUCUUCUUUUUUCCCUUUAAUAAAAUUGGCAUUAUUCAUUAAUUGAAUGGAAAAAAAAAAGGAAUAAAGCCUCCUUUUAUAGGCUUGCAACUAUAUAUAUAUAACUACCAAGGUAAACAAUUCGUAAAUAUAUAAGUAAAAUGAAUCAUGAAAGGCUAAAAGUUACAUGGAUGGAUAUUGACAUCAAAAUGAAUAUUUUCAUAACAUUGUUUAAAUUAUUUGAAAUUAGAUUUGACUCGUUAAAUCUAAGUUAUGUAAACAUGUUUUCAAUAGAUUGAUAUUUUGACUAUGCCAUAACAUAAUCACUUGUUAAUCGCUAUAACUAACUUAUCUAAGUCGAGUCCGGACAAACGAUAUCUAGAAUGAGCUAUAAUAAAACUAUCUAAACAUUUUUUUUUUGCAUAUUUUUUUAUUGUAAAUAUGGUAAAAUUGUAAUAUUUUUAAGACUUUUUCUAUACGUAAUGGAUUUCUAACCAAAAGACUUAAAAAGAUGCAUGCAAUUGUCUUCGAAUUUUAUGUCUCAUGGAUAAUAGAAUCUUCCACAAAAUAUUAAUAUAGGAUUUAGACUAUUCAUAGAAAUGAAUUAUUAGUUUCAGUUAGUUAAUUAAGAGGAACAACUUAACAACUUGGUGUUGUCUUUGUUCUCCAUUCUAUUCUCUUCUCUAAUUUAGGAAAACAUUACCGAAUUACAUGCGUGUGAAGAUUAAUUCUGGCGAAACCAAUACUGAUUACAUUGUCCAGAACAAUCGAAGAAAUUUGUUCUGUGUAUGGUAUUUCUGUUCCCGACAUUUUCAUAAUACUCCUGUGACUUUUUCCUUCAAAAUUUACAGCUUUUAUAAUCUGAGAAUACGUGCUAGUUAUUAGCAAGGGCCUCUGCAGGUUUCGGAAUAAGAUAUUUGAUCAAUAACAUUGACUCAGUUCUCUUUAAAGGGUGUUUGGUAGAAUUUCGUUAAGGAACAAGAGGGAGGAGAUGAACUGCUUUCAUUGUUGCAAGGCAGACCAUAGUCUUUCUUUUAAAGAUAAACGCAGUGCACACAAGAGAGACAACACUUUUUCGGCUUUUAUCCACAGCAUGUCACACAAAACAGGUAUGUUAUAUAGAAAACGUAACGUGAUUGUUCCAUUAUCUAGAAUCUGUUGGUAGAAAAUCCGUUUAAAUGUUAUGGACAUCAAAUGCUAGAUACCUUUUUGGUCAAUGAAAUGGCUAGAAGUUUAAUCCGUCAAUCAUCACGGCGUUCUGUCAAUUGAGAUGAUUGCGCGUAUGAAUUUUGGUGACAAUUAGAUUUUGUCACCACUAGUUAUGCAAAGUUCUUGAUAUUUGAAUAUUUUGCGGUUUGAACAGAUGAAAUUCUGAUAUUUCAUGUUAUAGGAAAAAAACUGUCCUCUUUGCACAUGUAAUUCAUGCAUGUUAUGGAUCUGCAGGAAGCAGCAAGCAGAGACGUAUAGCUGCUGAGAUUCGGAAAUUUGGAAAGGCGAAAAAAACUCCCAACGUUUUCAAAUAUCAAGAACUGGCUGACGCCACCGAAAACUUCAAUCCUGAUUGUUUAGUGGGUGAAGGAGGAUAUGGGAGGGUGUACAAAGGAUACAUUGAAGCCGUUGAUCAAGUCUCUCUCUCAAUCUGGUCUUGAUGAAAUAUCGCUUAUGCGCACACAUGUUUUAAAACAAUCUUUGAGUCUCAUUCUUUGUUUCAUUUCUUCAGGUUGUGGCUGUAAAGCAAUUAGAUAGGAGUGGAAACCAAGGAAGCAGAGAAUUUUUCGCAGAAGUUUUGAUGUUAAGUCUGGUUCAACACCAGAACCUUGUCAAUUUGAUUGGAUAUUGUGCAGAUGGUGAUCAAAGGAUUUUAGUUUAUGAAUUCAUGUCCAAUGGAUCUUUGGAAAAUCACUUUCUUGGUACAACCAUUAUAUUCUUCAACUACGUUUGAAUAAUUUUUGCUUUAUUUGUGAGAUAUUCUGAUUGCAUUCCUUUCUUACAGAUUUACCUCCAGAUCAGGAGCCUCUAGAUUGGUUUACGCGAAUGAAGAUAGCAGGAGGAGCAGCAAAAGGGCUUGAAUACUUGCAUGAUGUUGCCGAUCCACCAGUAAUAUACCGCGAUUUUAAAGCGUCAAACAUAUUAUUAGAUGCAGAAUUCAAUCCAAAACUGUCUGAUUUUGGACUUGCUAAGUUAGGUCCAACAGGAGGAAAGGAUCAUGUGUCUACAAGAGUUAUGGGGACAUAUGGUUACUGUGCUCCAGAGUAUGCAAUGACAGGUCAACUGACAAAAAAGUCCGAUGUAUACAGCUUCGGUGUUGUGCUCCUGGAGCUUAUCACAGGUAGAAGUGCUAUUGAUAAUUCAAGACCAAGUGAAGAGCAGAAUCUAGUUACUUGGGUAUGUUAAUAUCCUGAAAAGAAUUCCUCGUUCCAAUUAAUAUACAAUCAUAUUUGUAACAGUUCCCAAUUUAUUGUAGGCAAAGCCAUUGUUAAGGGACAAGAAGAAGUUUACAAUGAUGGCUGAUCCAUUGCUGGAAGGACAAUACCCUCGGAAGGGUCUGUAUCAAGCUCUUGCAGUUGCAGGAAUGUGUCUCCAGGAGGAUGCUGACUCUCGACCUUUCAUGGUAGAUGUCGUAACAGCUCUAGAAUAUCUAUCUAGUCCAGUAACUGAUGAAAAAUGUAGUCCAAUAACUGAUGAGAAAGGUAGUGAUUUAAGUGGGCCGUUUGUUGACUCUAUUAGAGGACAAAGAAUCAAUGGAAAGCAAGAGGCCUAGUGUUGCUGGGGCAUUGGAUGUAUAGUAGGUUCUGUGAAACAGAUAAUAUUCAGAAUCUGACAUAGGAAUCUACAAAUUUUUGUAUAAUGAUGAAAUCUCUUCUCUCAUUCCCACUGCUGAAUUGCUGUUAGAUUUAAGAGCAUGUAUAUGACCUUGUAACCCUUGCCUGAUUAGCAAUUAGGCAGCUGGACUUGUGAGGCUGUAACUGGAGCCCCAGUACCGUGAAUUACUGCAAGCUGUUGAUAAUACAAAAUUGUUGGACUGAAAACUGCAAUAUUUGCUUUCUUAUCUGACAAAAUUUUAGGCAUCUUUGUGCUCAAAAUGAGUCUUAUUCAUGUGAAAGCUACUUCCACCGUUUCUCAUGUUCAAAUGUCAAAUCAUUUAUGCAAAUGCAGUUUAAAACUUCCUUUUUUUUUUUUUUUUUUUUCGAUGUAACGUGAUUGGCAAAUAUCAAGUUUGGUGGUGUUGGAAUUGCAAGAUUAUGCAUUUCGUAUUUAGAAAUGGGGUGUUUAAUAUCAACGUCAGCAAUUUGAAACUUUUGUAAUCUUUGUUGAUCUGUCAGUUCUCAAAGAACUUAUAGAGGCGAGAACUUCUACUUACUCCUAUUACUUCUGAUAAUGAAAACUUUUUACAAAUCAAAUAUGUGCGCAUCAUACUUCAAGAACUGAUCUUACAGGAAGGAUCAAAUCCGCCCCUGAUCAUGUGGAAAAAUCUAAAUCUGUCAGAGUUGAAUGAAACAGCAUAGUAGCAACAAUUCUGGUAUCAGAAGAGCAGCAGUUUCAUGACUUUCACCAGAAGAUUGAAUUUCUGAGGAGGUUAUUCUGGCAAGAAAAAUUCAUGAUUGCUCACUAGACACUGGAUUCUGAAGAAACUAUGAAAUUAUAAGUAUUGUCUCGCUUUAGAAAGGAAUGCAUCUGCCUUUUGAUAUUAUGACGAGAAAGAUGAAACGAUCAUCGCAUUUGGAAGGCAGAGUAGAAGAAGCCUAAGCAACAAUACCUUGAGAAGAUUACUUAAAACAAAAAAAUUAAGAAAAACAUGAGCACUCUCAUGCUCAUCCCUGACAACAACCCUUUCAAAGAUCUAGUAGGAAGAUAAAACCUGAUAGGACAAUCCGAUACUCCCAGAAUAUGGUUUUCUGAGAUUCCCCAUUGAGUGAAUGAAUAACAGACUGGCCAGGUAAUCACGAAAUCAUUGUUAUCUCGGCUCUCCAAGAAGACCAACUAAAUGUGCAAGUUAUUCACAUCAUUCUUCAGGAUCCUGUAGUUGAACCCAGGAAUCCCAUUCAACUGAUUUCUGUCAGCAACUUCUACAGCAGAGCAUAUGCUUGGAAGGAUACAGCUGCUGCUGCCUCUUCGCCUCUUCCUCUUCCAUCUCAUUAUCACAAACCAGAAACUAUUCCUGGAAUGACCACUGCUGGAAGCUAUGUCAACAAUCUGUCCCUGAGGUUUCCUAAUACUUGCACAUUGCUGUAGCUCAAAUUUAUUGAAAUAUUCAAUCUCCCUCCUGACAAGGGAUCCCACAGUUCCCCUGGUGCCUAUAGCAACUGGAGGAGUUGCAGCCAUUUUCUCCGAGAAUUUGGUGUUUGUGUUGCAGGCUUUAUGCUGCAUUAUAUAUUCUUUAAGGUAUAACUCAAGUGAUGUAGGAGGCUUCUGGAUGAAGAAAUUGGUGGCCCCAGCCCUGGGUCGGGGAAUUCUCUUUGGUCUUUGUAAAAGUUUUAUUGAUACUACUUUAUUAAAGUGGACAGCAUGAGUUUUUGCAUGAUUGAAGCUCUUUGAUAGACAAAUUGACAUCAUAUUUGUUUGUUAUGCUUUUCUCAUGUCAUCAUAUAACUGUUGCACUGGCAAUGAAAGCAUGCAUGUUCUCCGGAUAAAUUGUUUCACCCUUUCACCCUUUUUUAUCAAUUACGUUUGGUCACGUAAUUAGUCGUUGCUUUUCAACAGUUGGAUUGUGAUUGUGAAUAGUACGACCUGAACUGGCCGAUCAGGUAUUCUGAAUUAUUGUGCUAAAACAACAACAUGCUGCUAUGAUUUCUUAUAAUUUAUGUUAGGUCAAAUUUCUUUUCUUCCGUGUAAGCUUGGAUAAAGAGUGAGUCAAGAGAGAGAGCAUUUUCAUUGUUCUCUUCACAAACUAAUGCUUUUAUAGACAACCUGAUUUUGGUGCCAUAGAUGUUGCUGCUGGUUCACAUGAUUAACAGUAAUUCAAGGUAGUAGUGCCAGAUAUCAUUUCUUUCAUUUGCUGAGAAAAUAGGUUAAUUUGUAAGGCUUUAAAAUAAUCUAACAGUUGCUAGGUCCAAGAAAGUGGUUGCGGUGGAACAUCCUCUAAGGAUUGUCGUCAUAUAGGAAUAAGUGGAGACCCCAUCGUCAUCUAACAAGCAAUUGAAAGGCAAAGCUUCACCAUCAAAAACGCAACCAUUGAACAACGAAAGAGUACUUAAAAAACACUUAUAAUCACUUAAAUGGUAGGCUUCCACAAUGGAAUGCAUUUGCUCUGUUGCUUUUAAGUGUCAGUUCACAAUGGAAUGCAUUUUCAAGCAUUUAAUUGUCAGCUGAAGGACAUCAUCCAUGACAAAAUAAUUAGGGAGAGCGGGCACUAUCGAAAAGAGUUGAAAGAUGACAAGAAGUUCACCAUUUCACUAUCAGCUUAUUGAUCAUUUCAUUUGCUCAUCAAACUACAGUACCGUGCUGUUGAGAAUACAGUCACGCAUUUGUAUCCAUUCAUCAGAAAAGCAUUAUAGGCACAGGUUGUACUGUGCCACCACGUGAGUGAAUUACUUGGGGACCUCAUACAAGAACUAAAGUUUUUCAUUACCCACUUGAUUAAAAUUGCUAAUCUGGACUAUUCUAUUAGCUUUACAACAUGCAGUACUGAUCAGGUAGGUAAUCACAAGCAUCAGAUCAAUCAUCAAUGUACAUUCAAAUGCCUCUGUAAAAUGCCCAUUCAAGUUUGGGGUUCAGAGAUAGGAGACUUGCAUAAAUGGAUGACUAAAAGGUAAAGCUUUCAGGCAAAACUAAGUCUAAAAAUCUUAUAAUUCACAAAAAGGAAAGUAAGUUAAUUAAUAAACUCCUGCUUAUGCGAUCAAUAAAAGACAACAAAUUUUCUGUAAGCCUCAAAAUUGGAUGUCCCCUCUCAUUUUUGUAUUCACACUCAUCUAUAUUCUUAUUUCUUUUGAUUUCUUUCUUUCUAUUAUUUUUUUCAACUUUUUCCCUUUCUUCUUUUUCCUUUUUCUUCAUAUUCUUGUAUGAGAAUUAUCCAAAAAUCUACCGUAUACCAGGAAGAUGGCAGAUAUACCUCAGCUUCCUAUGUGAGGCAAGAGCUUUUUGUAAAGCAGCAUCUACUCUUGCACCUUCUCGAAACAGAAAGUCAUAUAAGUGACAGAUGAACUGCGACAGCUCCUCUUCUUCGUCAUCCCAAACACCCAUCAAAUGUUCCCCACUCUUCUCAGGUUCACUAUCCUCCCAGUCACUCACUGGACUGGAAGGUUCAACAUCUUCAUCUUCCGCCUCUUCCUCUCCGAUUUCAAACCUCCCAUUUUCCACAACAUUGAACUCUCCAGAUCCAUGGAAUGAUGUGAGCGACAUUUCCCGUGGUUCAGCUGAAGGGCAAACAACAGCUUUGGCACCGGAGUCUAGAAAUGCCUUAACUACAGGUGGGGUAGGCCCAUAUGUUCCUGUGCAAAUUAUGAUCCUCUCCCUCCAAGCUCCAAUCUGGGAUAACAACAAACAUUGGUAUCAACCACAUCUUCGAGGGAGAAUAAAAAGAGACUUCAACCUUAUCAAAAAUCAUUAUAAAAUUAAAAAAGGUAAAAAAUAAAAUUCAAAGCUUUUCAAACAAUUAAGGAUCUGAAACUUAUAGCUGCAUCAGCCACAUAAAUGCAAAUAGAAAACUGAGUGCAGUUCAUUAAUAUCUUCUAGUAAAAAAUGCCUAAGGUUUAACAAAUACUGCCAUGCAAGGGGAAACUAAAUCCAUUCAAGGAAAUAUAACAACGAUGAAGAUAGACGAGCAACGCAUAUUACAAGUCAAGAAGUACGAUUAAGCAUCAUCUGCCAAUUUUCUCUAUCUAUAGCUGUGAAAUUCCAUAGAAGUUGGAGAUGAAGGGAUAACUAAGUAAAAGUACAUACCAUCCAACGAACAUCAUCAGGUGUUAAGUGCAUGGAAGGGACAGUUCUACGAAACAUAUAUGCUGCAAUUUCAUGGUCAUCUUCCAUAACCUUCCCAAACAUCACAAGACAGAUUUUUAGUUUGAUAACCCCUGACAAGCAACAGAAGAUCAUCUAAAUGAAAGGAAAAUGUAGAGGAUGCGUACUUGGGUUUGGCGUCCUAUAUAACGGUGGACAACAUUUCCCACUUGGAAGUAUGGUCUAAAGUGAAUCAGAUCAGCAAUUGUUGAUAUAUUGGAAAGAACUGAUGCACCCUUUCUACGGUUGCUCCGCAUCACUGAUAACAAACUUGACUUGACGCUCUGUAGAAACUUGUCUGCAUGUUCACCAGGUUCAGCAACCACAAACACAUCAUUCUGCCAGCUAAUAAAUAAGCACAUCACAAUUAGGAAUAUGAGUGAAACUGAACAAUAAGCACAUCACAGUUAGGAAUAUGAGUGAAACCGAACAGACACGAGAGAGAAUAAGAAUUUAACACAAAGGUAAGGUCAUGCUGACCUUAAUAUUGAGCCGACUGUAUCAUUUUGAAGGCACAAAUGAACAAUGCCAACUUGAGGUAAACUUUGGAGCUUCUCAUGCAAUGAUCGGACAUGUAAAGAGAGCUGCCUGUGAGCCUUAGGAGACACUGGGGGAGAUGAAAAUGUCUUUCCAGCUUGUAAUCCAUCCAAGCUUAAAGGUGGAACCAUAUCUAUUCGGCCAAUCCUCUGUGGACCAACAUCUGGACUGUACAAAAGUGGGCUUGAGGGGAAACUUCCAGUGAUCAAGGGAGAGGAAAAUGGUGUGGGGAAUGUUGCUCCAGGCAUAGACUUCCCAAUUCCGGAAAUUCCAUGCAAAAGAGAUAACCUUAUUCCAUUACUAGCACAAAAUGAUUCAAGUGCCCGAGCAUGGUGCCCAACUCUUCCUGAAUCAGGACUAUGCAUAGCUUCAACAAGCAGUACAUUACGCCUCCAACCUAAGGAUGGGCUAAUCUCAUCUAAAAUUCCAGGAGAGAGGGGAAAAAAAAGCGUUCAGUGGGAAGAUUAUCAUAUAUAUAAAAACUAUAUAAAAUCAGAGAAAAUAUAAGACAUGCUACCUGUGUUAGACACCUUUCCUCGGGGAAAAUGCUGAGAUUUCAAAUUCUCUGACCACUUCUCAUCUUGUUGGAAAGGUAGAAGCAGUCUCUCACAGACAUUCUUGAAGGACUCAGAAUUGUUAUUGAUGUAUUCAUCAACUGCAGCUUCCAACUUAAGCCACUCUGCUGGAUCAGUCUCAUCCAGCUCCAUCUCACAUCGUUCAUCAACUGUGGGCAAAUCAUGUGGAAUACUAAGUGACAGUCAUGAUUCUUUCAUAAAAUGACAGUCUUUAGGAAUAUCUUUCCAGAUAAAUAAACGAAGUACAGGAAUAAAACUAUAUCAAAUGACAACUGGUCAGUAUCCUGUCAAGGUCAAAUAGAAAAGAUAGUCUUUCACAUAUGAUGCUCAAAGAAAAAAUAAAACACUACAGAUUCCCAAAGGAUGGCCCAGUUGGUUGGCCUCUUGCAGGGGAAGCAAGAAAUCAAUGUUCAAGUCCAAGGGGAUACUGUUAAUUUGAGGGUGACAAGAGGUUCCUCGGUAACAACAAAAAGAAAAGAAAAGUAAAGAAAACAUUACAGAUAUAGAACCUGGAUUAAACCGGUAGUACUGAAUUUCAGGAAGCAUAGGCAGCAAUGUGCUUAAUGCUUCCUCCGCCCUAUCUACAGAGCACGCACUCUCAAUCAAGACUUGCCCAGUAUCCAGAUAACGCCAACCACCUCUCCGAGUCUGCAAAUACAAUGUUUGCUUGCAAGAGUAAGGGAUUAUAAUCACUAGAAAACACAAGUGCUAUUGUCUAGUAUUGUAAGAAACCUUUGUAGUCCAGCAUUCUAAUCAAGUCAUACCCAGAUUUCUUACCUACAGUCAUCUCAAUACUUCUAAGAGUCCAACAUGGAACAGAAAUGCCUAAAAGAAGCUUGUGAAGUGGAAGAUAUUGUUUAAUCAUCCUUUUCUCAACCAAAACCAAAAAAAAAAAAAAAAAAAGUCUUGAAGGGAGCGACAAAUACUACGCUGAAAUGAGAGCUCCCAGUCAUCAAAAGAUAUUUUGAACCAGUUCCAGUAUAAAAGCGACACUAGACUUAAUUUAUGAACAUGCACUCCUAUUAAAACGUAUUUCUUGAAAAUAAAGAAUUAAAUGCAGAUGAUCAUACAAGUUGAUUUUUGAAUUUGUUUUCCUUGUUAAUAGAGUCUUUAUUUAAUAGGAGUGCAUGUUCAUAAAUUGAGGGUCGGUCUAUCUGAUAAAUGAAUCACAGUUCAACACAAUAGAGAAUAUCCAGCAGCAUGCCACUGAAUAUGUCCAUCUAAAGAUUUUUCAAUAUAAAACUAUUGAAAAUAAAGACUCUAUUAACAAGGAAAAAAAAUUCAAAAAUCAACUUGUAUGAUCAUCUGCAUUUAAUUCUUACUACACAGGACAGUGCCUAGAUGGCAGCGGAGGACUUCCCCAUGUGGACUGUGGAAAAGGUUGGGAAUUUCAAGCUUUAUGAAUCAGUGAAAAUUUUAAAUUGAAUAUACAUAACGAAGAAGAUCCUUUAUUUAUGAAAGGGAAAUCAUCUCUGCACCCUUUUGUUUUGUCACAUGUAAAUUUAACCAAUACAAAAUUUUGGUAUGUUCUUUGCACCACCUUUGUCUCUAAACUCAUAUCAAUCAAUCACUUUGACAAUAAAAAUAACCAUUUUACCACUAAAUGAGUUAAAAGACUAUUUUAUUCUAUAAAAUUUUGAAAAAUAAAAAAACUAUAAUUACAAAAGUACCCCUAAAUUCAAUAAAACAAAUAAAUCUCAAAAUCUAAGAUGAUAAUUUUUAAAUGAAAUUAUAAUUAUAAAAAAUUAACACGUUGUAAUUAUAAUUUUUUGCAAUUUUAAUUUCAUUUAAUUUUUGUUAUUAAAUUAAGCAUAGGGAAGUUUACAAAACAUGAAGAGAAAAGUUCACUACAAUUAUUGUAAUCCCUAUAUUAUUGUAAACUUCCCUAUACAAAUUAAAUGAAAUUAUAAUUAGAAAAAAAUCCACAUAUUGGAUUUAGAUUUAUUUAUUUUAUUAAUUCAGGGGUAUUCUUGUAAUUAUAAAUUUUUUUUUCAAAAUUUUGUAAACUAGAAUGGUCUUUUAAUUUAUUUAAGGCUAAGAUAGUCAUUUUGUAGUGUUAAAGUGGUUUAUUGAUACAAACUUAAAAAUAAAUGUGGUGCAAAAAACAUGUCAAAAUUUUGAGGUGGUUAGAUAUACAUAUGACAAAAUAAAGGUGGUGCAAAGAUAAUUUCCCUUUAUGAAACUUCACUAAUUCAUGCAAAAACUGUGACCAAAGGAAAAAGGUUAAGAACUAACAUUAAAGCCAGAAUCUAAUAACCCUCUCUCAGAAAACAAAAUUAAGAAACUGUUUACCUUUGUUGGAACAGAGCCACACCCAAUGGAAACUAAGCAGUCUAUCCUUGUGUCAGGCCAUAGAAGUUGUGCUUCUCUGAUGGCAAAUAUGGUAGGAUUGUUUGCUACUAUUGCACCAUCUUGCCAGCGGAAUACAUCUGUGAAGUUGUUUCGGAACAUUUAAAAAUUAGAAUAGAAGAACAAAAAAGGAUCAAAAUGGCCAAGCACGAACAACUGGAAAAAAAAGGUGCAAGAAGAAUGCACCAUCUGAGAAAUCGUCGAGAUAAUAAGGAGCUGCAGAUGACGCUCUUAUAGCUUGCCAUACUUGAUGCUUACAACUCCCAAUAAAAGCACUGCGUUUAUAACCAACUUGAGCACCAGUAGUAGGUGAUCCCAGCACAGUGAUUCCGGAACUUUCUGAAAUUGAAAAAGGAACUUCUGGUGUUCCAGCAGGGUACUGCAUGUUGAAACCAUAAAGAGAAGUCAGAAUAAUUACCAUAAUUUAAAAAAUCACGCUACAUAUAUGCCAGAACAAAACAGAAAAAUAACAAUCCUGGAAAUAAAUUGAUGUGUCCAAAUUACUCUGAGAGAAAGAAGUAUUUCUGUCAAACCUGAUAAUUGCGGAAUAUGAACGGCUGUGCUGGCAUCACAUUCACCAAAGUUGACACAGUAAAAACUUUGGGAAUGUUUUUCACAGAUGAUUCUAUCAAUAGAUCCCCAUCCUCAUCAGCACACAUUUCCUUCAACAACCUCUCAAACUGAUCUGCACUGUGCUGCAAGAAAAAAUGAAAUUAUCUAAUUUCAAGGCAUUAAAUAUCUGAAACUGUUAAUGGCAUUUAUCUAUUUAAACUGUAACUUUAUAUUAUCAACUAAAGUACCUCUUGAUCAAGAAAAUUUACAACAAAGAGGCAAACAAGGACAAAGGCUCAUAGACCAGUCUAAAAUGAAGAACAAGAUCUGCAUGAUCCGACUUGUGUAGUUGGACAUAAAUUAUUGAUUUCUGUGUAUAUACUAAUUUUAUGCAUGCGUCUAUUCACAUGUGUCCAUACUGCAAAUUUAUCAAGGAGAGAAGAAAAAUCAAAUAGAAAGAACAAUCCGUACUUUAGAUCCAUGUACAACAACUCUAAAGCUCUGCGAUGAACUUUUAUAAAUUUGAUCCAACUUUUCUCUCCAUGUUGCAGCUUCAUUGUCUUUUGGAAAAGGCUCAGCAAAGACAAGUUUCCCUAAAGAACCAUAAUUGCAGAAUGAGACAAGUAAAUUGAACAAAUAAAUAAGCCAUUCGGAAAAGCUAAUUUUUGGCUCCCCAAACUCACCCAGAUUUUUGUAUAUUUCUUCACACUGAUCCAAGGUCAUUAGCUUAACAGCAAGAGCAAUAGCAAGCAUGCCACCAGUUGAUGUGCCACAUACAAGAUCGAACAACUCAUGUAUCCGCUUACCAGUUCCUUUCUCAAUUUCUUUAAGAAUUUGGACUGUUGCCAGACCUUUCAUGCCACCUCCAUCCAUUGAGAGAAUGCGCAGUCCUUGUUUUGGAACUUGUCUCCCCCUUAUGGCACGCCGCAAACUUUCAUUUUCUCCUACAAAGGCACACGAUGAAUUGACCAGGCCUAUUUGGUUAAAUGAUCUCAAAAUACAGCCAAAGACAGAUUCAGAAACUUACCGAGAAUUGCCAAAGCACGAGCUGCAGCUUUAUUUACACGGGGUUCAGGUCCAACAGUCAAACGCAUCAAAAGGUCUCGCAAACUUUCAGAAGUAACUAGAAUACGGCGAUUCUCCAAACAGAAGGCCAAAUUUCCAACUGCAAGCAAAGCAAACCUUUGUACCUAACAAAAGAUGAACUUUUCAACAUUAGAUGACCACUGCAUAACCAAUCGGUACACACCAGGAAAUUUGUACUUGCCUCUGGGUUUUUAUGUGCACAUAACAAUUUUAAUGACUUCAACACAUCUUUAGUCAACAUCUUCUGAGCUACAGUAUCAGAUGCAAAAGCCAACUGUCCCACAACUUGCAGAACAGAUUUUACUUCUUCUGGAGCAAAAGAUUUUAGCACUGCUAUAAUAGGUUGCAUGAUGUCACAUUUCAUCAACAGCAUUGCCACAGAUACAUCUCCAGCAAGGGAUGAUAGAGCAGAGCAUGCUUGUUCGACCUGCCAGAGAAGUAAGAAUAUUAAGAAAGUGCCAAACAAAAGAACAAAUAAGCAGGUUGGACUUCUUUCAUGGUUACAAGUGUGAGAAACAUACCACAUGACGGUUAUCACUACUUAUCAUACUAAUAAGCUGCCGCACUGCAUUUUCAUCUUUGCCAACAACUACCCGGUUUUCUUGGUCUUGCAUAAUCUUUGCCAGUGCAGAUGCUAGUAAAGGGUGAUGACAGGAAGAGAAACGGAAUAUGAGAGAGAAGAAGGCACUAAGCUUGUGUCUAGAUGCUCCAAAAUAAGAAUUGUUCUCCAUCUGCAACCAAAGAAAAAAGUACAAUGAAACUUAAUAAUUAUCUCUAGCUUAAGAAUGCCAAAAAAUGUUCAAAAAGCUUUAUCAACCACUACCUCGAUUUGGACAUUGACUGAUCUAAGGUUUUCAUCAGCCACAAUCCUAAUAUUUGCAAGAGACAAGUGUCGAAGUUUAAGCAGUGGCAAAAUUUCUGGAAGGAAUUCAAGGGGGUUUCCAAAGAGCCUUAGAAUUUUCAAUUCUGCCAUAGCCCUGCCAUUCAAAUGGAUAGACACAUUAGAGACAAAGAAAACUAUAGAUGCUACAAGCUUAAUUGAUGAAGUUAACAAGUUAUAGACUCAAGAAUGAUAAGUCACUGUCAAAUUGACCUGAAAUCAAGAAGAGGCCGAACAAGCCUGUUGUGUUCUAAUGAUAACUCCACCAGUCCUACACACUCUCUCAGUUCAACUGCAUAUAAUUUAAAAAGAAAUCAAUUAAGCAGACAAAUUGCACGAGACAUAAGCAGACUAGGAAUCCACAUCACAAGGAGUUUUCUGCUUGCUACGGAACUUGUAUGUUAAGCAAGUCAAUAUAGACAUACAUACACAUAUAACAGUUCCAUGCUUACCAGGAACAGAAACAAGCAUGUUGUUGUCAACAAUGAGAACUUUUAAAUUCUUCAUGGCACCUAGCUCAGGUGGCAAAGUUGAUAACUUGUUGUUAUCAAGGUAAAGUUUCUCUAGAACCGGCAAACGGGUCAAAUCAACUGGCAACGCCUGUCAAAACCAUAUAUUAAAACUGUUUGAGUGCUACCAAAAAUUGAUUUAGCCAUUAGAACUUAAUUUUGCCAUUAAUCCGUUUGAAUUCACAUAAAAAAUAAAAUAUAACAAACUCACCGACAGACCAAGACCGCAUAGGCUAACCGCUGUGACAGUCUUCCAAUGGUCGCAGAAACCGGACCCCAUGUUGUUCCCCGGACCACUAGUAGACAAGUCGGAUCUCAUGAGGCGGGUCAAAACCCCAAUCCCAUCGCUCAGAUGACCCGACCCGACCCCCUUGGUCAAGACUACCGCUCGUAACGGCUCUCUCCUCUUCACCACCCUCAUUUCAACUCCCACAUUCGCCGCGUCAGUAGCAACAUCGCCCUCCUCUUGCGGCGCCAAUUCAACCACCACCGUGUCUUCCGGCACAGGCAAAGCCACCAUCAACUGCGAUUGCAACUUUAGCGCCACCUGAUCCUCCUCCUCGCCACUCGUCCACUCCAGAUCGAUCCGGAACCCUAAUUCCGGAUCUCUCGUCAUCACCGUCGGUGACGACAAAGACGAUGUUGAUGAUGACGAUGACGUAGAUAAUCGGUUGAAGGGAUCAUAUCCGGCUUCUUCGGUACCAUAACUGAGAGUCAAUUUGAAGAUCUCCAACGGUCGCUUCCAUCCCAAACCCCAAGAAGACAUUUUGCUCGAAUUCGAUCAAACGACAAUAUCAAAAUGCUUGAUCGGACGGCAGGGGAUACUUUUGUUUUUUUUUUUUUUCCUCACAUUAUAAACAAUCAUACCAUAUCAUUUCAUUGUUAAUUUUAAUGUUAGUGAGUGUGUGUGUCAGCAAUAAUUUACAAGUUAAGAUACAAUUAAGUAAAUUCCAAAAUGCCAAUUUCUGGUUAGGGUUUAAAGAUGAUGAGAGUUAAUGGCGGGAGAUAAACGAACCGAAGGUGCCGUGUAUUUUAAUUUGCUUAAUGCGGUGACUUAUUUUUGCUGUUCGCAUCUGGGGGGUUCUCACCUAACGAUGCCGUUUCAAUUGACAUAUAGUAAUACACAUAUUUAUAAUUUAUGUCACAUUACAGACGAGACAAGUGUAUUUCCUCAACAAAAACCUUUUUUUAUAUUAAGAACUAUAAAAUAGAACUGCGUUUCGCGCGGCUUUAAAAAAAGAAUUUAGUAUUAUUAUUUUUUUUUAUUUUACACUUGAUAAAACUGAUAAAAAAUAUGAAUUGAUUUUUUUUAAGAUGAAGCAUCCUUAUAAAAAAACAAAAAAAACUAUUAGCCAGCAAUAUAAAUAAAGAAGCAACGCAAGAUAAAGAAUAAAAUGAAAGAAUAUAUUAUUAGAGUGAUUUUAUUCAUUCUAAUUGUGUGUGUACAAAACAAAAAGAUUAGCUCUCCUUUUAUAGUUACAUAAUCACUCCAUGAAAUUAAUAAAAAAAUUAUGGAUCAUAAUUCCUUGUGAGAUAGUGGGAGUUAUAGGGAAGCUAAAGGUUGCUAAUGGGAGAUAGUAGGGAGACUAAGAGAUAUAUGUCAUGAACAUCAAUAUUUAUUUUAAUAAAUUCAUAACACUCCCCCUUGGAUGUUCAUUACAAAGAAUGUGCCUCAUUAAAACCUUUACAUAAUUGUUAUUGUGUAAUAACAAUCAAAUUAAUUAUGAGAAGAUGAAAAACCAAAUCUAAAAGAAAAUUUCUCUAUUUAUUAGAUAAUAGAGAAUAUACAAAGAUGAGAAAUUGUGAUGCCACAUCACCUCCUCAAGUCUCAACUUUUAAUAAAUUCAUAACACUCCCCCUUGGAUGUUCAUUACAAAGAAUGUGCCUCAUUAAAACCUUUACAUAAUUGUUAUUGUGUAAUAACAAUCAAAUUAAUUAUGAGAAGAUGAAAAAUCAAAUCUAAAAGAAAAUUUCUCUAUUUAUUAGAUAAUAGAGAAUAUACAAAGAUGAGAAAUUGUGAUGCCACAUCACCUCCUCAAGUCUUAACUUUAUAUAUAUACUAGAAAAUAGAAUCGCGCUUCACGCGGCUUUGAAAAAAGAAUUUAGUAUUAUCUUUUUUUCUUACUUUACACUUGAUGAAACUGAUAAAAAAUAUGAAUUCAUUUUUUUUUUAAGAUGAGGCAGCCUUAUAAAAAACAAAAAAAGUUAUUAGCCAGCAAUACAAAUAAAGAAGCAACGUAAGAUAAAGAAUAAAAUGAGAGAAUAUAUUAUAUAGUGAUUUUAUUCAUUCCAAUUGUGUGUGUACAAAACAAAAAGAUGAGCUCUCAUUUUAUAGUUACAUAAUCACUCCAUGAAAUUAAUGAAAAAUUAUGAAUCAUAAUUCCUUGUGAGAUAGUGGGAGUUAUAGGAAAGCUAAAGGUUGCUAAUGAGAGAUAGUGGAGAGACUAAGAGAUAUAUGUUAUAAACAUCUACAUUUAUUUUAAUAAAUUCAUAACACUCCCCCUGGAUGUUCAUUACAAAAAAUAUGCCUCAUUAAAAUCUUUACAUAAUUGUUAUUGUGUAAUAACAAUCAAAUUAAUUAUGAGAAAAUGAAAAGCCAAAUCUAAAAGAAAAUUUCUCUAUUUAUUAGAUAAUAGAGAAUAUACAAAUAUGAGAAAUGGUGAUGCCACAUCAUCUCCUCAAGUCCUAGCUUUAUAUAUAUAUAUAGAUAGAUAGAUAGAUAGAUAUAUAUAUAUAGAUAUAGAUAUAUAUAGAUUUUAAUAUUUUGUAAUGUAAUUAUUUUUUAAUCUCAACCAAUAUAUUAGAUAAUAGAGAAUAUAAAAAGAUGAUAAAUAAUGAUGCCACAAAUCUAAAAUAUUUAAUGUUUAUGGAGUUUGAAGAAGCCAAAAUGCACUAAACAAAAGAUUAAAUAAUUAAAUAUGAGAUUAUGACAUUAAAAUUAGGCUCUAAUGUCAUUGUUGAGGGAAGAUGAAGGAACCUUCCUUCCUAUAUUAAUUAAUUGAUGUAUUUUAAGCCACUAAAAUUUAAUUGUUGACAUAAUAAAAUAAAUGAAUGUUUCAAGACUUAUAAUUAAUUAUUAUUAAUGGUUACAUAUUGUUGAAUUUAAAUAGAAAGAGGAAAAGACAUGUAAUCAUUUAUAAUCUAAUAAUUAUUUUCUAUUUUAAUAUUUUGUAAUGUAAUUAUUUUUUAAUUUCAACCAAUUUAUUAGAUAAUAGAGAAUAUGAGAUGAUGAGAAAUGGUGAUGCCACAUCACCUCUUAUAGUCCCAACUUUAUAUAUAUAUAUAGAUAUAGAUAUAGAUAGAUGUUUGGAUUUAGAUCGUUGAGUUCCAACUAUUAUUUUUUUUUAACGCAGUUGAGUUCUAACUUGAGUACAUUAUCAUGUGUCAUUUGUUUAUUAAAUGAUAAAAAUAAAUAUUUUAUUAUUUAAUAAAUUAAUAUUAUAUUAAAUAAACUCAAAUCAAACAUUUGGUAUGUAUUUUAAUUUUUUGUCUUUUUUGAAAAAAUUUCUUAAUUUAAUAAAGGAAAGCACUUUAAGUAAAAAAUAAAUAAGAUAAGAAAAAUGGGACAACCUUAUAUGUAGACCGAGUAAUUAUUAUACCUUAAACAUGGACCAAGUAAUAGUAAUUAUUUUUAUUAUUAUUAAUCUUUCCGAUGAAUAGAGAGUCCCAACAACUCUGCUUUUCGUCAAGACAUUCAGACGGAAACAGCGCACAGGCUUGGUGGUUAGCGAAUGGGCGGGCCUACCCGGUACUGGUAAAAUGUUUGAUUUCCUGACAGCCACAUGGGCUGGGCCACGGCUCAUUUGUCAUAUAGUAAAUAUGACCAUGUAAGAUUGUACGGAAGAUUCUAGUGGAAACGUAUUCAGCAGCACGUGAAUCAGACCUUUCUUUUGAAGUUUUCUAAUUUCUACCGUACAAUGUGCCUUGUAUUACUGGGAUUUCAAUGAACGGCGAAAUUGUACUGCGAGGCCGCCUUCAGCACAGGCUAUAACUUUCAAGCCUAAAAUGGGAUGCAUUUUGAACUUCCCCUUAUUCCACCAAAGAAAAGGAUCUCCUGAACCAACCAAUGCUCCAUUUACAGCCUCAAAAGAUUUGAAAUAUCCAAAUUAUUAUAAUGAUAAACACAACUGAAUGCAUCCACUACCAACUCUUGCAGGAAAUAUUUUAUACUUGCUAGCAUUUUUUCAUACCGGCCCUCUAGAGUAGGGUCUUCGACUGUUCUAUUUGUUAUUGUAGUAAUUCUCAGCAGAUAGUAGUUCCUACAAUGGCUUAAUCGCAUACCAAUCAAAUUGACACAGCUAAGUUUUGUUGCAAACAAACAUGAACAACAAUUAGACGCAUGAUCACGCGUCAUGAUACUGCAGUCAAUGGAGCUGUCAUAUUUAUUCCAGAGAGGCAUUUUUCAAGCAAACAGUUCAAGCUGACCAUUUCAACAAGUGCCCAUGGUCAACUCACUGCUUCCUAAAACGAUGGUGACAUAAACCUAUCUUAAAAUCUCAAAUUCAUCUACUAAUGCACUUUCAAAGACCAAAUUACCACUUCAAAUAAUUUCCUACCAGGCCAUACCCAUACAUACUACCAUUAAUCAUAGAUCCAGCUUCUUUUCAGCCAAAUCAAAAAUUUCUUUCAAAUCCUCCUUCACUCUGCCAUUUGCAAAUAUAAACUUGACAGCACUUUUAGCUAGCUGAAACAUUUCCCUCCUUCCAAGACCUGCACAGUGAUCAAAAAAUCAAUCAUUAAGAUGAGGCUUAAUAACUUUCAAUCAAAUAAACUAAUUACAAAAAACUUACUGAAUGCUGAUGCGGCAAGAUCGUACUCCCUAGAAACGCUGGUGGAGAAAACACCUGAGUCAUCAGUACAAAGGACUAAAGGGUGUUGUGCCUUGUACAGAUCAACUGCAAAUAGAACAAUGUGUUAUAGAGAAGACAUCCAAAAAUUAUUCUCUCACAGAUAAAAAAAGGGGGUAAAGUUUAUAGACUACCCCAAAGGCUUGGCCUAAUUACAAAUAAACCCAAUGUUUUGGGGGGAAAAAAAAACAAAAUGCAGAAACCUGUCCCACCUCCGGGAGGUUUCUGAAAAAUUUCAAAACCAGAGGAAUAUGACUGUAUUUUAGUCGAACCUCUGCAGAGGUCGAUAGAACUUACUCAAUUUGGAAAAUUUCAAUCAUUAGUAAGAAGUAGUGGCUUGUUUAACAGAUUAGUCAGCAAAUAAAUAUUUUUAUUAAAGGUAAAAAAAGGGUACAAGCUAUCUACAAAUUGAAACAGAAGAGAAGAAGGUCUAACCAAAAUGGUGAAUAUCCAGUGAAGAAAUUGUUUCAGUUCUGAUGUUGGAUGUCAAACAGAUCUCAACCUGCAAAAUGUAUAUUGACAGAAACCAAAAAAAAAACAAAAGAUAAGAGAGCAAAACAUACCUUUUACCAGUAUGGUCAGCUUAAAGGUUGAUAAGGAACUUUUCCUUAUCAGAACACAACAAAAAAUUUUUUACCAACAAAUAUAAAAGCAUUGAUAUGCUAACAGUCAGAAGUUUGAUAAAUGAUCAAAGGCACAAGGAAGCUGGUAAACUAAUGGACCAAUAAGAUUUCCACCUUCUCUCGUCCUAAGGAAAUUGCAAGAAUAUAUUCUUUAUCAUUCAAAUUUCAAUUACAAGAAAACAAUUGUAAAUGAAAAGAGAUUUUCAUGAAAUUCUAACCGGGAUUUUAGAUGAUUUCAACUUUCUCCAUUCUUCCUCUUCAAAGCAACAAGCAUGCCCAAUUCUCUGGGGAAGAAAGUCUAGCAUACUUUGGAUCUCCUCCUUAUUAGGUAUCUACAAACACUAAGUUAUGAAAAUAAACUGGUCAGGAUAAAUCCACUAAUAGCAGAAACACAUAAAUCGUAACAGCAGUAAGCAUUCAAAAGACAUAUGCACCUCCCCACAGUGAAGAGUUAUUUGAAGACCUUGUUCCCUAGCAAAUUUUAAUGCUGGCAGGAAAGUAGUCCUGUCUCAGAUACAAAGAAAAUUUGUAAUAUUUUAAAGAUAGUUACAAUGGACUAGUAACACUUAUGCGCUAAAAAGAAUGAUCAGUAACAAAGGAGUACCAUUCACCCUUGGUAGGGUUUCCAGAGAGGUCAAUGCCAACUACCCCAAGGUCCCUCAUUUCCAGAGCCAGCUUAACCUGUAAAAUGAUUGAGGUAAGAUAAAUUAGUCACCUAUAUACAUGAGAUGAUUCACAAGCUUAAAACAUCAUUUGCAGACUACAUUUUCCUAACAUACAGUUUCCAUGGCAGCUUCAGUUGUCUCCCGACGGUCAAUGCUGAGAAGAAGUCUAACAUAUAUCUUUUUUCCUCUAGUACCAUUACAUGCAUCAUUCAUAUUCUUAGUAUUCACAGGACGUCUAACAUCUGUGCUACGAGAAGCAAAAUCAACAUCAACUGCACUGACAGCCCUUAAACCCUCCACGACUGCAUCCAUGUAAGAUCGUUUGCUCAUUCCAAUAGACUCAUUUCUCUGUAUAAAUUGGAAGCCAACAAAUUCCUUAAAACUCCAUUAUAUACUAAAAAGGUUCCAGAAAUAAAACGGCUACCGGGAAGUCAACACACAAGUAAAUACCUUUGGAGUAGUUCUUAGUUCUAGAUAUACAAUAUUCUCGGAAGCAAAAUCUUCAACCACCUGUUUUGUAAAUGUUUUAAAGAAAAAAAAAAUAGGGGCUUGUCAAAUGGAAGUAGAUGUAGCCAACCCCAAAAAAAAAAAAAAAAAAAAAUUCAUAAAUCAAAGAGAAAUUUGCCAUACUUCUUGAGUAAUUCUUGUCACGGUUGCGUGGUCAGUAGUGAGAACGUGGAUCAGGUCAAAUAACUUGAACACUUCAUGUAGAGAACGGUCACCUGAGUUUAAAAAGAACCCAAAAAAAAAAAAAUCCAAUGCCACAAUUAAGAGUAACCCAAUUAUGCAAUAAUAAUGAGAAAUUGAAGAAAUUCAUUUUUUUCCCCUUUUCUGAGGAAAUCAAACUACAGCAAAGGGCACAUACUUUUCAUAAUAACAUGCUCCACAUCUGAGAAGACAAUGACACCCUUUUCACCCAAAACUCUUGCAAGCUCCCUGCACAACAUAAUUACAAGUGAUGCUCACCAUCAAAACUCAAAAUUAGCAUUGAAAUGAAAGAGUCCGACAGAGAGAAAAGAGUAAGAUCUUACAGAAGAGUAGAGUCUCUAAUGGAGCCAUUCAGGUGGGCAUGUAAUUCAACCUUUGGCAUCGACGCAAACCACUCCAUUUUCGUUUGUGGAAUUUUUUUUUUUUUUCCUUUUUCCCAACACGUUUGUUUAUGGAUCUUAUUUCAGUUCUUGAUUUUGUUGUUUGCUUUUCUUACUCGAAGCUCGAGAUUAAAAUAAUUUUUUGUUUUGUCUCUGAAGGGUGGUUGGCACUUGGUGUUUGACACUCCUUUCUCUGACCAAAUGGUCAAAGGAUAAAGCUAUGGAUUAUGGGCCAGAAACAGAAGCUGUUAGUCUGUUUUAGAAUCCAAAGCCCAUAUCAUGACGAUUUUCUCUUCCUUCAUUAUCCCAGCAGUUUUCUAUAACUUAGCCACACGGCCCACACCCAAUUACAAAAACGAUCAACUAACUAAAAAUAAGUCAAAAUCUAUUUUUUCUAUUAUUUUUAUAUAGAAUAAUUUAUACCGCAUCCAUAUUUUUCAAUAAAUCUCAAUAUGCACUCUAACAUUUCCCGCAAAUUCCUAAUUUAUAUUUUCUAUUUUUAAUUUAUACUUUUUGAAAAUAAAUUAAUAAUUUUACUUUUUCUUAAAAUUGAAAAAACAUAUUUUUCCACCUUUUUAUUUUUAUUUUUGUCCUUCAUCUUUUUUACCCUUCUUGACGCUUCGCCUUCUCCAAGAUUUCAUGGAGCCAUACCAGCUGUGAAAAAAACUCACAGUAAUAAUCUUGAGCCAUAAGAUGAUGCAGUUGCACAAAUACAUCUAAGGUAGAGCCAUAUUCAAACUAGAGGAUGCCACAGCACCUGCACCCUGCGGUCUUUUGUAGGAUCAAUAAAUUACAAAAUAAAAUAUAAUAAUAUCAUGAGUUUUAGGUAUAAAAUCUUCAUUUUGACACCUACAAGAUUGCACAUUCUCUUACAAUUUUUAAACUUUAGAGAAAAAAAUAUCAUUUAAUUUAUAUGAUCUCAUAAAUAUUCAUUAUGAUUGCAGUACUGUUACAAUUAUUAAUUUUUUAAACAAAUUAUUUUCUUUGUCCUUUGUUAGAAACAAGUGACCCAACCUUUUUGUUGAUGUUUUUAUAAAUUUUGUUUUAUUCAUAUUUGUAUUUGUUUUAAUUUAGCCCAUGUAAAAUAGAACUCAGAGGUCUGCCCCUAGAAAGGGCGGUUUUUUUUUUUUGGGCAUUGGUCAAAAUAAUUUGUAUAAUUGUCAUCAUUAUUCUUUGUCAAAUUUAUUUCAUUUAAACAAACAUUAACUUCUUUCUAAAUUCAUAGUAAACCCUAAAACCAAACUAAUCAUUGAAAUCAUCAACACCCAUAUUUGCUUGGUACAGUUGCGCACGACCAUGGGUUUGCUUGGUAUCGCCGCUUGUGGCCAUGGGUUUUGCUAGGCAUAGUUCUAAUAAUAUGUAUUAUUAAUUUUAGUGGGUUUUACUUAUCAGGAUUUUGAUUUAUGACUUAGAUUGGAGAAUUGUGGUGAAUUCUAGGUAUUUCUCUAAAAAGGAAAUUAAGAUUUUGAUUUUUGGACUUUGAUUUGUAGAAAUUAUGUUUCAUUUUUAAAUGGUGGAUUUAAUGUGGAGUUGUAGAAAUUGGAUUUAAAAGUAGUUGUCGAGUUGUCAAGGGUGUGAAAGAGGAAAGAUUAAAAAAAAAAAAAAAAGGAAACCAAGAAGAAGAUGAAUAGGGAACAGAAGGAAGAAAACGAAGAAGAAAGAAAAAGAGAAGAGGAAAAAAUGUCUCUUUUUUUUUAUAAUUUUUUAUAUUUUGAUUAUAGUAAUGUUGUUUGAUUUUUGUUAUUUUUAAUUUUAAUUAAUUUUAUUAUAUUUUUCUCGUUAGUUUAAUUUAAAUAAAUUUUAUUUACUAUUUUUAUUUGUUGGUUUAAUUUUGUCGGACAAUCUGAAAUUAUUGAAAAACAUUUAUCAAAUGACAAUUGGUUGAAAGAAUGUGCAACGCAAAUUUGUAAAUUUUGUUAAUUUCAUUAAUGAAAUUUGAGUUUUUAAAAAAAAGUUGCAUAAUUUUAUUAAAAAACUCAAGGACUUUGACGAAAUCUAAGAAUUUCACCAAAAGACUUUUUAAAUAAUAUUUUAUUACUUAUUUACAAAGCCACAUUAGCAUUUAAGUCUCUCAAAAACACCCCAAUUAAAAAUUUUCAAAUAAGAAAUGAUAAUCUUUUUUCAAAUUUGGAGAGUUGCUUUCUCCAUUUUUAAUUUAUAUUUUGUUACUUUUUGUUGGAGAAAGAGAGGUGUUUUAAUUACUAUUGAUUUUCCCUUUAAAAAAAUAGUUAUUUAAUUAAAAUAAUAUUAAUUCAUUUAUAUUUGCAGAGCCUUUUGGAGAAUAACAUAUUUUUUCACUCUUUUAUUUGCCACAUAGGUAAGCAAAUAGAUAUUUGAAGAGUUAAAUUUAUAGAGCAUCUCCAAAAGGCUCUUCAAAUAAUAUUUUAUUAUUUAUUUGAAGAGUCACAUCAGUAUUUAAGGCCCCAAAAGACAAUCCAAUUAAGAUUAUUCAAAUAAAAAAUGAUUCUCUCUCUUCAAAUUUGGAGAGUUGUUUUCUCCCUCUUUAAUUUAUAUUUUAUUAAUUUUUGUUGGAGAAAGAGAGAGAGAUAUGCUUUAAUUGCUAUUGACUUUUCCUUUAAAAAAUAGUUAUUUAAUUAAAAUAUUAUUAAUUUAUUUCUAUUUGUGUUUUAUUAACUAUACUCGAUUAUCUUCAUAAAUACAUGCACAUCUCACUAUAUCUUUGUUGUAUCUUCUUGUAUUUUAUUGAUCAUUUUAAACUUGUAAAUCAUUACUCAUAAUUAAAUAUCAAUUGUUCAUCUCCUAAUAAAUGACUUUAGUAGACUAAAAUUAUAUAUGCACAAAAACAGUUGGGGAACUUGAUAAAUACAUGACUAUAAUGGAGUACGUGAACAUAGAACAAAAACUACAAAAAAUACUCAUUAGAAUGAACAUAAGAUGUAACAUAUCAAACAUCAAUUCAUCAAACAAAAACUUUUAUACGUCAAACAACAUAGAUUUAAUACAUGUCUAAAUCAUAAAUAAGUUUUAAAAGAACACAAGUUAUUGUUCAAUCAUCAAAGCUAUUAAUUUACUCCAAACACUCAACCCAUUUAUUAUAAACCCCGGUCACCUCUCUUUGAAAACAACAUAAGGUAGACAAAUAUGUUGUUCCACCUAUGAAAUAAGACGGUAUAAAUUUAUCAGCUAACUACUACAAAAGGACAAGUAUGUAAUAUUAAGUAUAUUAACCAGGACAAGUAUGUAAUUUUGAGUAUAUUAUGCGUGCUUUUGUUUCAUUCAAUCCAACUACAAGUUCAUUGUCAGACAGUAAAAUUAGUGUGCUACUAGUUAGUUGAUUAUAUCCUUAAAAACUGCACAUAACACACUUACGACGUAACUUCUCUUCAUCUUGUGAUGUUAUCCCAAAUUUUUAUAGCUGACUUUUAUUCACCCAACUCAUUGUCAGACAAUGCAACAUUAUUCACACUUGCACGACUGCAAUCGUGUAAAUCCAUAAAUACACAAUAACAGUCGUGUAACUUGUAAAAAAUUCACCACCACAAAUCAGUAAAUAUUCAAAGGACAUAUUUCUUCUCCGAAAUUAUAUUUUUUGCACUAAUAGAAUAUUAGGGUCUCAUAACAACUGGAAUAUAUUACACACUUGCACGACUGUAAUCAUGUAAGUUUAAAUAUACACCACAACAGUUGUGUAACUUACUAAAAUACACUAUUAUAAUCCAAUAAACAGUCAGAGAACAUAUUUAGUGAAAAAAUAUAUUUUUUAACACUAAUAAAAUGUUAGGGUGCCAUAACAGCUAUAAUAUUUUUCUCAUUCACACAACUGUAGUCAUGUAAAUUCAUAAAUGCAUGAUAAUAGUCGUGUAACUUGUAAAAAUUUACGACUACAAUCCAGUAAAUAGUCAGAAGACAUAUUUUUUCUCUAAAAUUAUAUUUUUUGCGCUAAUGUUAGGGUCUCAUAACAACUGGAACAUUUUACACAUUUGCAUGACUGUAAUCGUGUAAGUUCAGACAUACACAAUAACAGUCGUGCAACUUACUAAAAUACAAGACUCUAGUCCAGUAAACAGUGAGGUGACAUAUUUAGUGAAAAAAAAUAUUUUUUACACUAAUAAAAUGCUAAAGUGUUAUAACAGCUAGAACAUUUUUCAGAUUUGCACAACUAUAGUCGUGUAAAUUCAUACAUACACAACAAAACAUAUAUGACAAAGGUCUUGUAACUUGUAAAAAUACGCGACUACGGUCCAAUAAAUAGUCAAAUGACAUAUUUCUUCUCUAAAAAAUAUAUUUUUUGCGCUACUAGAACACUAAGGUCUUAUAAUGGUUGGAACAUUUUAAACACUUGCACGACUACAAUCGUGUAAUUUCAUACAUAUACGACAUCAAUUGUGUAACAUACUAAAAUACACGAUUACGGUCUAGUAAUAGUCAAAGGACAUAUUUAGUGAAGAAUAUAUUUUUUUGCACUAAUAAAAAUGUUAGGAUAUCAUUACAGUUGGAAUAUUUUGCACACUUGCACGACUGUAAUCAUGUAAAUUCAUACAUACACGGCUGCAAUCAUGUAAAAUAGAUGCAGAACAAAAUUUUGAGAACAAAGUAAGAUUUUAACAAAUGUAGUUAGAAAAUCCAUCAUAUAGUAGUGAUAUGAUGCAAAUGUAAUAAAAGUGUGAGUUGUUUGAUUGUUUAUCACAAACCAAUCAAACCUUAAAAACAAUAGAAUGUCAAGAAAAUGCAUAGAUGACAUAAAAUAAAUGUAAAGUUUAAAGUACCUUAUUGAUUUGAUGAAUAAUGCAUGUAGUUGCAAACAAAAAUCUCAAUAUGUUGGUGGUUUAAGAGUGAUUUUUUUUUUUUUUUUGGUUUUAUGGAGUGAAAUGAUGUGCAAAUAAAAAAGUGUGUUUAAAGGUGAUUUGUUUUAAGGACAAUUUAGAUAAAACACCACAUAAAAUGACAUAUCCAUAUAAUUAUCAAGUAUAGGGUAUAUUUAAUUAAAUACCUAAUUUUUGGGGUAUGUUUAAUUAAAAACCCCUUACUUUUGGGCAUAUUCUUAUUGUACAUAUGUCUACCAGUAAUGACAAAUUAAUGAGGAGUUUUAGUUGAUGGUUGGGAAUUUGCUAAUAAGGACCAUCGACGAUGAAGGAUUAGUGGUAGGUGACUUGAGACAGUGACAAUGUAGGUAGAAGGUGGAUAGAAUUUAUAAAAUUAACUUUAUUUUUUAACUAUAUUUUUUUAUUUUUAAUAAAGUAAUCUUAAAAAUAUAGAAAAAUAUGGGCUAAUGAGAAAAUUUGUGGCAUCAAAAUUAUCAGCACUCUUAACACAACACGGAACUGGUUCAAUAUAAACUUUUCAUCGUGCCUAAUUUUCCUUGACUAAACAACCAUGGAGACUUUUGGAUAAAAUCAUGAAAAAAAUUUAGAAUCAAAUUUUGUUACAGAAGAUCCAAAUUAUGUACAAUUUUGAAAAUUAUUUUUGAAUUAAUCACGAGUCAAGUGCUUUAUCAAACUAUCACAUGCACAUAUCUCCAUGUAUAUUUAACCAAAUUAUACCCAUUAACCAAAAGCCCAAAUUUGGUGAGUGUAGCACUCACGUGGAAUUAGCUUAUAGGUCACAAGAUCAUUCAUGAAACUUCCGUGAUCGUUUCAACUUUCAAGGAUCAAAUUCAUGCAUACGUGACACCACUAUAUUAUAUGCCUCUGGAUCAUGGUCCAUCAUAUUGCAUAUGACAUGUACAUAAACAAUAACCAUUAAUAUUAUUCAUUUUGGCCAUGCCAUAUUAAUUAUCUUGCAUUUACUGGUUCAUCUACUCUCCAAUUUAGCAUUGAAUGCACCUAGGCCGCAACAAUAGCACAGUGAUUCUUCAUUCUAGUAUACUUUUUUUAUUUUUCUUCUUCAAAUAUUUAUUUACUUACUCAUAUGAUAUAUAAGAGUGUGAAAAAAAUAAAUUAUUUUUUAAAAUAUUCUUCAAAUGAAAAUAAAUUUAUAUUUUUUCUUCUAACAAAAUAAUAACAAUUAUAACACUUCUCUUUUUUAAAAAAUAUGAGAUAACAAAUAAUAUAAUAUUAAAUUAAAUGAUUCAAAUAAGAUUCUUCAACUGAGAGUCUGAGACAAGGACAAUAUCAUUUAAAGAUUUCUUAAAACUCUUUCUACUUAUAUAACUCUUUAAAUGAGAAUUAAAAAUCUCAUGGGAAAGGCAUUUUGGUUAUGUUGUAAGAGACCAAACCUGUGUAAUAAAUUUUCUUAAAAUGUGAAGUCUUACUAUAUAUAUAUAUAUAUAAAUUACACAUAUGUGUGCGUGUGUGUAUAUUGGCGUUUGUGUCUUCUUUAUCCGUUCUAAUUACUUAGAAUCCUACAAUUUAUGAAAUUUCAUAUCAAUGGAAAAUAAAGAUAAAAAACGAAGAAUGAAAGUUAUCGAUGGAGUUCUUCUAAUAUUCUCCUAAUUAUAACUCCGAUAUAAUCUAACAUAUAAUUAAAUUCUUAAAAUUAUUAUUGAAAUGAAAUAUUUUUUUUUCUGAAAAGGACAUUUAUAUAUGUGCCUCGGCAUAAAAUAUAUAAAUAAUAAAUGUGCACAUGUUUCUGAACCUCUCUCUUCCAAGCUUCAUUGUACAAUGUCUCACCCAUGUUUUCGGUUUGGGCACAAAAAGAUGAUAGGUCUAGUUAAUUUUAAGCAACAAGGUCCCAGCGCCAGUUUGGAUUCUGGAUAAUGCGUGCAUGCAUGGCUGCAAGCUUGUGUUGUAUAUUGCUACUGUAUAACUUGCAUCGAGACCAAUUCUUGCUAGUUCUAGAAAUAUCGAAGAUAUGCAGCUAUAAUGUAUUUUCAAUUUGAAGACUUUUAUCAUCUUAAUUAAAAGUUGAGAUUUAUUUUUUAUUAAAUACAAAAAAUCAUAUCAAUAAUGAUCUUAUAUAUCAUGACUUCAAUAAUUUAAAAAGAGGAGGAGGAUUCGAAGAAAUUCAAAUUUGAAGGAGAUAAUAAAAGUGUAAAAGAAUAGUACGAAAUUUCUAACUAAGAGAUUAACAUUUUGGUCCCUCUUAUAAUUUAUGUUUAUCACUUAGGUCUUUAUUAAUUUUUUUGGCACAUAUUUUGUUUCAUCCCAAUGUAUUGUUAAAGGGCAAUGCAAAUUUUAAUUGGUAGAGUUUUCAAUUCUUAGAUAAUCAAUUUGCAUAUGAAAUAGUCAUAUUUACCCUUUUUUUGCGUAUAAUUUUAACACAGGCAAUUAAAUUAAUUAUUAAUAAUUUAUUAGCGACCCAAAUGAUAAAAAUAAAUUCUUAAAAUGAGAAAUCUUAUAAAUGAGAAAGAUCAAAUUAAAUAAAAAAUAAAAAAGAACGACCGAGAUUAAUCUCCCCUGGCAAAAAUAAUCAAUAAAUAGAAGCAUUGAGUUAAAUAAAUGGAUCCGGUUAUAAAUUCUCAAGAAGAAAUUAACAAAUUCUCUUUCAUGAAUGGAGAGAGAGAGAGAGAGAGAGAUACUCUCCGAACUCAAGAUUAUUACAUUUUUUCCUUGAUUUUCUUGUAUUUUUCGAGGAACUAAAUGCUGACUUGAGCGUUGGAAUACCUUUAGUAGGUACCGAAUUGUUGCUUGAAGCUUGGAAGCUUGAAGAUGAAGAAAUCGUCAUUUCUAGGUAUUGAAGAAAAUUUGCUCCUUCAGUAACUCGAGAGCAUCCAGAGGUGUGUAGAUCUAUAUCUAAACUCUAAAGCUAGCUAUGCAUCAGGAAAAUAAUAACAAUAGUAAUGCAGUUCUUUUUUUUUUUCAUAAAUCUUGUUACUAAUUAUAUAAAUGUAGCUCAUCUUCCUGGUUAACAUAAAUUGAGUAUGUUGUGUCAUAUUCAUACCACAACUUAUGGUUCGUCCAAAUUAAUGAGAUAAAAUUAAUUAGAUGAGCACUGCCAAUUAAUAGCAUAAUACCGACUUAAUUUCUUUAUUUCUUUUAAGUUAAUGUGAGAUAUUCAUAUCUUGUUAUGAUCACACAAGUGUUUAAGGUAUUGAAUUUGAAUAAUAAUAGAGUUAUAAAGUUUGAACAAAUAAGUAUGUAUAAAUCAAAGUAAAAUGGAAGUGUUGGUUGUAUAAAAAUAGAGUAAAUAGUUUAGUCUCUAUAUUUUAACCUAAUGAUAUAGUAAUUAAGUUUUAAUAGAUAUAAGGAGAGGCGAGGAAAGGAGGAGAGGGAAAAAAAAUAAAGGGAGAAAGAUGAAAUCCAUGUAAAAUAAAAAUGAAAUUGAAAUUGACUCUCUUUUUCACUCUUUUUCUCUCAUUUUCUUUCUUUUUCAUUCCUCUUCUCUCCUACUAGGGCUAGGUAUCAGAUCGGAUUAGGAUUGAUCUAAUCUGAUCCGAUGCGAACCGAUCUUGUUCGUAUCAUAUUCAGAUUUAAUUCGGUUGGAUAAGAAUUUGGCAAUCAUAUUGGAUUUAAUUCAAAUCAGAUCAAAUCCGGAUCAAUUCGAUCGAAUUGCACAUGCAAUUGAAAAAAUGUAUACCUAAAAUAUAAAUAAAAAAGAAAAAGAAAAAGCAUAAAUCAUCAAAUCCCUAAAAUCCCAAAUCAGAAAACAAAGAAUUGAAGCACUUGCAACCGCACGAACCUAGCCAAAGAAUCGAAUAACCACUUGCAGCCGCACGAACCCAGCCAAUCUCUUUGAGAGAAAGCCAACUAGUUGUCAAGACUCAAGUCAUCGAUGUGCUAGCUUCACGCCGAUAACGUCCCAACCAACAACCGCUGAGCCCGUGAACCGCACGCUACCACGCUACUAGCUAAAGCCGCAAGCAAAAGUUGAAGUCCCAAAACUAGCUGCAACAUUUAUUUGUUAUUGCAAGGGUUUCCAAUGGAGUAGGAUCCAUCAAAGCUCGUAAAGAAGAUAUACUUUGAAAAACUCGCAGAGGUUUGGGUCUUUUAGAUUGCUUGUGAAUUUGUUUUCAAUUUUGCUGCAUUUCAUUCUCGUUACUAUUUGCCUUUUUGGUGAUUGCAAAGUUGAUUGUUUGAUUUAGCUUUUCCUCCUUUUGGAAUGCAAUUGUUGCUGAAGAUCUGAUGUUAAAACGAACAGUUUCAUUUUCUGUCUUUCUUUUUUCCAUUUGCUGGCUUGCUGAAUUUCAAUUUUGUAUUGCAACUUGAAAGUGAUUUGGAUUCAUCUGAUUUAUUUGAACACAUCAAAAUUCUAUUUCAAUAUGAUAUUACCGAUCCAAAUAUGAAUUAAUCUAAACUAUUCAUCCGAUCCGAAUAUGUUUGGAUCGGAUUUUAGUUCGGAUGACUUUUUUACCAAUCCGAACAAUUUGAAAUUCAUUUGGAUUAAUCUAAAUUUGUCCAACCCUCUCUCCUACAAUUUCUUCCAACCGUUAAGUGUUUGUUUAAUCCAUGUAUUUUCAAAAAUGCUUUAAGAAACACCUAGUGUUGGAUAUAUUACACUCAUUGCCUUACUUUUCUUUUCACUUUUACCAUAAGAUCCUUAUAAUAAUAUUCUUGGGGAUAUUAAUUACUUUAUCCAUAAAAAAAAGUUAAUUAACAAAUUAACCUUAAAAGUAAAGUAAAAAAUAAAUAUAAUUUCUUUUAUUAUUUUACUUUUAGGAUUAAUUUAGUAAAUUAAUUUUUUAUAAAUAAUUAUUUGCAAGAUUAUAAUUGCAAUGUAUUAAAGAUUGGUAGUAUUUAUUUCUUUUAAAUAAUUAGAAGACUGUUGUAAGGGUAUGAAAAAUACCAAUUCAUUCACACUAAAAUUAUUGGUUAAUUUACUAAUAACUAAUUAUAAGUCAAUUUGUUAAUUAAUUUUACCAUAGAUUAAUCAACCAAUGUCUCCAAAAUUGAAGUAAGGAUAUUAUUGUAAAAGAUAAAAAAAAAGGGCAAGAGUUUUAUAUAUUUUAUAGUAAGAGUAUCUUGAGACAUUUUUUAAAAAUUUAAAGACUAAACAAAUAUUUAAAAUAUAAAGACUAUUGGAGUAUUUACUUUAUAAAACCAUCAUGGAACCUAAAUAAUUAUUUUAAUGAACUAUUAUUACUUUCGAGCCAAUCUGUAUUCUAUACUACAAUAAGAAGUUUACUGGUAAUUAGAAUCAUACUUUACAUAAAGUAUAAUAUGGCACCAUCUAUAUUUAUAUCUUCACACAUAUUAAAGAGAUAACAAGUCAACUCACAUUAAUGAGAGAGUUGACUCAGCUCACAUUAAUAGGAGAGUUGUCUUCCUUACUUUGGAGAGGGCAUAUGUUCACCACUCAACGACCAAGCGACUAUGACUAAUGUGAUUUAUUUUUAUAAAAUUUCAUUCAACCAAUACUCUGUGUGAUACAAAGAUUAUGAUCCUCUCUUGAUCUGAUCAUUAUCUGAGUAAGUAUUAUUAAUAUGAUUGGUGAUUAAUAAAUGAAAAUGAAAAAAAAUAGUUAAAUCUUAAUUAUUCACUAAUACUAAAACACAUGUGGCAUAAGAUCUGUAAAAGAUCAGGAGUGCUCAAAUCAGGAGAAGAUCUCAAUCCAUGAUACAAUUUUGUCACAUCUUACGGGGACCCAAAAAAAAAAAAGUUGUGUGAUUCUAGCACUGUAAAUUAAUAUACAAGAUAUGUUGAAACAUCAACUAGAAGAAUAAAAUAAUUCGUGCUAAUACUGAAUUCAUUAAGAGAUAUAUUGGAGGAACUAUUCGCAGGUGUUAGCAAAAAAGGAAUGGAAUGAGCAUUGUAGAUUUUUUUUUCCAGGGCAAUAUUUUAUUAGUUGCCUUUUUGUGUAAUUCAAACGUAUUAGGUAUUAAUUGGUGUGAUUAUUGAGCAGCAAAAAUAUUAUCAAUUUUGACGUUCAUGUGAUAAAAAAUACACCCUUAACGGCCAAGAAAUACAGAAAAUUCUAUUAAUUGUGAGAAAUUUAGGUUUUCCCCCUUUUUUUUGGGGGGGGGGGGGGGGGGGCUGUUAGAAAGCUAAUUGAAGAAUAUGGCCCACGUAAUAUUUAAUUUCUAAACCACCGAAGCGGCUAGCGUUUAAAACCAAUUGGUAUGGCAGUAAUGGCCGAUCAGAAUCAGCUGGCAAGCGCGAGCAUCAAAGCUAGGACUGCACACUGCACUGCAAUAGUGGACGAAUCAGAAGAGGGCCAGUGGCAUUUGUUUAUUCAAAGAACAAAUAAUUCCCCGUACAAGUUGGGACGAUGAUCCCGUCGGUAGCCAAUAAAUUUUUCUCAGUUAUUAUCGUUAUAUUAUUUUAAUUUUUUUAUUUUACUAUUAUAUAAGGACGGAUAUCUAUCAUUUUACUAUAUUUUUGUUACUUACUAUUAAUUGACUAAUUAGUUUAUUAAUAAAAUAUUAAAUUUUUAAUGAAAAUUUUUGUCAAAAAAAUAACAUCCAAAGCAAUACAAUAUUAUAAAUUUAAAGUAUAAACUAGCUAAAAAUAAUUCAUGCAAACUUAUAAAUUUAAGUUUAAUAUCUUUAUUUGUGUAGUUUUCUUUCAAGUAUAUAAUUGGUAUUUUAUUUAUUAACUUAUUAGUCAACUAACAAUAACAAGGGAAAUUUAGUAAAAUGAUAGGUUUUGUGAAGAUAUAAUAAUAAAAAAAUAGAUUACAAUACUUCUUGUAUUAAUUUAAUAAAUUGUACCAACAAAGUGUUGGCUCCACUGGCAAUGGAGUCCCCUUAAGUGGCUUGACUGGGUUUGCUCCCCAGUUCGAGUCGCAGGGAAGUCGCCUUUGUUGGGAGAACCUGUGCCUCCCGGUUCGAGCGGGGACUUCUAGUCUGGGUUGUGGUAUGGGCUUAAAGGUGCCUCCCACAGUUGGGGCCCUCCCCAGGAUACCUCGUGAUUAAUAUCAAAAAAAAAAAAAUAAAUUGUGAUUCUUAAGGUUGAGAUAAUAAUCUUUUUUUUUACUGCUUUUAUAUGUAUUGUUGAUGGCUAAGUAUAUAUAGUUGAUCUAUUUGCUGCCAUUUGGGUAUUGAUGGUUUUAGUUUAUUGAACUAAUUGACGCAACUGAUAUUAAAUUGAUACGUAAAUAUACACCUAGUUAUAGUCUUUAGAGCUGGCAAAACGGGUCAUCGGGUCGUGUUCGUGUCGUGUCAGCUUCGUGUCGUGUCAAAUUUAGGUCGACCCAAACCCGACCCAUUUAAUAAUCGUGUCAAAAUAUUGAGACCCAAACCCGACACGGAAAAAUAAUCGGGUUACCCAAUAACCCGUUUAAUAUCUAUAUAUUGAACAAAAGUUACAUAAAAUAUUUACACACUAUCAUACAUACGUAUGUACAUAAAUACAUACAUACAUAAUUUAUCGAUAUUAUAAAAUAUAUAUAUCUACCAAUAUAUUACACAUUUACACUAUUGAGGUUUUAAUUAUAUAUAUAUAUAUAUAUAUAUAUAUAUAUAUAUAUAUAAUAUUAUAUAUCAAUAUUAUAAAAUAUACAUGUCUAUCAAUUUUUACACAUUUACACUAUUGAAGCUCUAAAUGUAUGUAAAAUUUUAUAAAUAAAACACUGUGUUUAUAUUCACCAUUUUAAAGAAAAAAAAAAUAUCUCUAAUAUUUGAGUUUUAAUUAUAAGAAUAUGUAAAUUAUUUUAAAAUAGAAAAUAUAAUCGGGUCAUUGAUCGGGUAAAUGGGUCAAGAAUUUUAACCCAAACCCGACACGGAAAAAAAUCGUGUUGACCCGGACCCGACCCAUUUAAUAAUCGUGUUAAAUUUGACGACCCAUACCCAUUUAUUUAUGUCGUGUUCGUGUCAGGUAAUCAAGUCGUGUCAAAUUUUGCCAGCUCUAAUAGUCUUGACACAAACUGAUAACUAUGUAGUUUUAUUAAAUCCAAUUGUACAUAUUUAAAGUCAAUAAAUAAUAUUAAAUAUUAUUAAAUCAUCCACCUUUUUGGUGCUCUUAUAAUAUUACUCCUUAUUCAUUAAACGCUUGCAACGUGGAUAUGCACGUUAUCGCGAUUGAUUAAAACAUACAUGUGAUAAAAAAAAAUGAAUAAAACAGGAGCAUUACUAUAAGAGCACCCAAGACUUUCUAGAUAAUGAAAUCAAUAAUCAUAAAUUUGUAUUAUAAGUAGAUAAAUAAGAGAACACCAAUAUCUAGUCACCUAAACAUGUGACUGAAUCUUGUGGCUCCUUAUAAAUAGAAUUGAAGGUGUAAGUUAACCAAAUAAUUGAGUGAUGUGUUGCUCACAAUAAGGUAAACACCACUGCCCGGUAUUCACACGACAACUUAUUAAGUUUAAAAAGAAAUGUGCUCAAACUCAUUUACUAAUAAGUGAAAUAAUUGUUUCAAACUGCAGAUUAAUUUAGUCCGAUACACCUUUCAAAUUAGCACGGUCACAAUAUAGAAUAAAGCCUCACAAAAACAGAAACUCGAAAAUCCAAUGUAGUACUAUAGAGUGUAUCAAAUGAAUCCACGCAUGCAUAUCUUGCUUCACUAAAAUAAGGUACAACAACUGCCAAGCUAAAUAUGAGAUAUGCUUAAUUAGUUUUUUUUUUCCCCUUUUCUAAUUGAUGGGAUUUUUCACAAGAAGACUUCACCAUUUCAUCUUGGCAAAAUGACAGCCUUAAGGGAAUUCUUCAUCACCACAGUGAAAGCAUAAGUCUCAGUCGGGUCGGGUGGAGCACCCGGAACCGGCAACCACUUGUAGGCAUGCACCAUUCUAGCAAUUAGCAAAUUGAUGUGCAAUAUACCAAGACUCCAAGCCGGGCAGAUUCUCCUCCCUGCUCCAAAUGGCACCAUCUUUACUCCCCGUGUUCCGGUCACAUCAACAUCAACCCCAUCACCCUCCAAGAAUCUCUCGGGUCGGAACUCGCCCGGAUCUGACCACAUAUCGGGAUCCUCAGUCAACCACGCAGUGUAGAAUUCCACGUGAACACCUGCCGGGAUGGAGUACCCGCCAAGCUCAGUAUCCUUUAUGGCAGCGUGAGACAGCAGAAAAUGGCCAGGAGGGUGCCGCCGGAGAGUUUCCUUCACGACAGCAUCGAGAUAAGGCAUUUUCUCGACAUCUUCUUCUUUAACAAGCCCAUCUUUCCCCACAGCAGCUACAAUUUCUUUAUACAACUUUUCUUGAAUCUCCUGGUUUAGCACCAAGUGAUGCAUUGCCCAUUCGGCCGUUGUUGCGCUAGUGUCAGUGCCUGCACUGAUCACUUCAGAACACAAUGUCACAAUCUCUUGUUCCCCCAGUUGCUCUCUCCCCGUUGGCUCCAGCCCAAACAAUGAAUCCACAUAAGCUGCACCGAUUGGACUCACCAUCUCUGACUCUGAGUUAGGGUUUUGGCCUUUCUCUACAAAAGCUUUUCUGUUCCUUAUCAGUGGAACCAAGCACUCCAUUUGUCUCUUCCUCAACUCCUUUGCUUCUCUCAUUUGCCGGCGAAAUAAUGGAGUGAGAAUCGGCAAGAAAUCCGGAAGCUGUGGUGAUGUUAUCAGCAUUACAUCUUUUAGUAUGCUUUCGAUGUGCUUGAUCCGCUCCUCUGAGAUCUUUGCACCAAAGCACAAGCAGAUCAAAAUGCUGCAUAUUGUGAGCCUGCAGCUACUCAUCACCUCAACGAACAAAUCAUUAUCAAAAGCCUCACUAUUUAGCCUUUUCAUGUGGCUUUCCAUUGCCCAUGUUCUUAUCCAGCUGCAUUGCUUCACUCUUGUAGGGGUUAUCAACUCAGUUACAAAGUUCCUCCUCAGGCUUCUCCAAAGAGGCCCGUAUUCAGCCGAGUUGAUGGCGCAUUUCCCGACGCUGAACACGAGCCUGAUCGGAGAAUCUGGCGGCCGGGAGGCGAAUUCAGGGCCUCUUUGGACAAGGGCUUCGUGGAUGAGCUGAGAGCUAGUGACAAUAACCACAGUACGUUGACCCAUCUGCAUGGUGAAUAUUGGGCCAUACUUUUUACGCAAAUCACGGACUAUAAAGAUGAAAUGGCGGCGUUGGAGGAUGACUUGCACCAGGUUUCCGACAAGCGGCCAUCCCCGUGGCCCUGGCGGCAGGUUCUUUGGCCCGCCGCCAGUUGUGGACGAGUAUCGCCACCAUAAACAGAGAAAGAUAAAGCCUGAAAUGAGGAUAACAAGGUCAAUCAAAUCCAUCAACAAUUUCUUGAGAAGAGAUUAUGAAUUAAGCUGACUGAAAGUGAAAAUUGGUGCACGAGAUGUGGUAAGCUUAUAGACUGGUUUUAUAAUAGAAACACAAGAUGGGCGGGGUGGAGUGAAUGAGUUUGGUUCAAGUUCAACAACUUAUUUGUGUAUUAAAUUUUUUCUAUCAGAGAGAUUGACUUCAACGUACAGUGGUUAGCUUCAUAAUGCAUUUAAAAUAUUAAUUAGUUAUGAUAUAUGCAUAUUCAUGUAUGCAUGUAUGUAUAUUUGUAUAUUUUGUUGCUAGCUUUUAUGUGCACUGUUCUUUUCUAGAUAUAUACUAGCAAAAUGUCUAUGAUGAGAAUAUUUAAUUAAUUAGAAACACAUGUUACCAAUAUUUAUUAGCUAUCUUAUUUUUUCUUUAACGUUGAUAUGAAUUGUUACAAUAAGGAUACUGUCGCUAUUAAUAUUUACAAUUAGACAUAUUAUAAUAUUCUACCUCUAGAUCAAAUUUAUUAAAUACAGUUCAGAUUAGUGUUUUCACUAACAAUUAAAGAUAUUUGUUUCGUCCGCAUUAUUGGACGAAAUGUCCAUCUUCACCUAAUUAAUUAUGGAAAUGGAGAAAAUAUUGAGUCCAACGGCCCACCACUUCGCCUUUAGUUGUCUUAAAUUUGAGAUUUGGUUAUCGUGUAACAUUGUUUUUAAUUUUCUUUCGGCUGAAUAAAGUUUCCUUCUCAUGCCUUUGAUCACUUAAUUUGUAGCGGGAACCCAAAUUUGCUUGAUUCUUGUUUGUGUAAGAUCAACGGUCAAAUUUACACAUUGUUAAUUAUUAUUUUUAGGCAUCCCAGGCAGAGCUUGUCUAUUAGUGGUCCGGCAUUUUGGCAGUGGGGCCAAGAUGUAAUUCUAUUAUUUUCUCCCAAAAGAAGAGAUGAGUAGAUGACUUUGACCAGAAGCUCCGAUCGUACGUACGCCAGUUAUUUACUCCCCCCCGGUUAAUAAUCAACAGCUUGUGUUUCCCAUUUCGGCCAAUAAAAUUUGAUAGAACCGGGAUUUACAUCCUAUUGUCAGCAAUGCUGUGUUCUUUUUGAGGUCCAUGUGGGGGCUGUGGGCAUUAAUUAGUACUGAGGACAUGUCUUAAUGAGGGAACAUUUUUUUUUUUUUUAAUUUAGAAUUGUGAUUGUGAAAAAAUAAAAUAAAAUAAGCGGUCUUAAAUUUGUUAGGUGUGAUGAAUCAUGAAUCAACUACUUUCUCGCUUCGUACCAGAUUUGAUUAUCUUGUGAAUUUGAAUCAUCCCAAGGGCUAGCUAUAUGCACACAUACAUCAUCCGUGUAUUGAACCCUACUCUUGAGAUAGUGAAAUGCCAUUUCUCUGCUUAUUAGGAUGCCUCUCAUUUCCAAUUAAUGUGACAGCUAUUGGGCUAAAGUUAUUUGUUAGUGGAGAGAAGCAGGUUGCAGAUAAAUAAAUAAAUAUAUAAAACAUCUAUAAUAAUGUUAUAGGCUGGCUUCACAGAUCUCACCUGCCAAACUUAAAGAGGUGCAUGGUCUUGCUUGCUUAAUUAGUUAGCAGAAAAAGUGAGGGGAACGAAUAAAGCGAGAGUCACAUUUUUAGCAAAUAUGAGGAGCUUGUAUUAAUUAGUAAAACGACACAAUAAUAACCAACGCUAUUCUUGACGAUGAUCAUGGUCAAUUCAUCACUAGUUAAUGUUUGAAGCAGACAAAUGAUAUUGAUUUUAUUACACGCACGAUUCGGAUGGCGAAAUUUCGUUAAUUUAUUUUUGGUCAUAUAAGCAUGAAAAAGUUAGCAAGCUACAGAAAUGGCCGGCAAUAUUGGUGACCACUCUCCAAGUAGUUUAAUUUCACACUUCGGCUUCGCUAAAUUCAGUUGGGUAAAUAUGUACGUAGCCGCUAGCGUGGAGGAUAAGAUAAUUAUAAUCCCUCCUAAUCUUAUGUUCGUUUAUGAUGACAGGCUUGGGCUGUUUGGUAAUUACACAGAUUAAAUCAUCCAUAGCUCAAUUAUCGCCAUAUAUGGAUAAUGGCAUUUACGUUGCAGAAGUUGUAUGCCAUCACAAAUAAAUUUUCCAUUACAGUUAGUAAUUGACGCGACGGCUUAAUCUCUCUCUCUCUCUCUCUCUUAAUAUAUCAUAUUUAGAAUUCUACAAUUUUUACAACUACAAAUCUACAAAAACUACAUGACCUAGUCUUAACUUUAAAAAAAAAAAAAUUUAAUUAAUAGUUACAUUGUAUCUCAUUCCUCUGCAAAUGUAUCUCCUUGGACUUGAAAUUGUAACUUUUUGCCUUCAUACUAGAUAUCGACUAAUUGAGCUAUUCUUAAUUAGAGGAUAAUUACGGGUGUUAUAUUAGGGAUUUAGAUUCAAUGUUGAGUUGAGCUUUGUGCUUAGAUUUUCUUAUAAUAUCAUUGGUUUUCAGCACAAAAAAUGAACAAAAAAUCAUAUCAAAUACUUUUCAAAAUUAAGAUCAAAUUUAGAAUUAAAGUCUAGAAUUGCCUUACGUCGUGUAGCAAUUUUAAAAAAUUAAAAAAAAAAAACUCAAACUGUAAAUCCAUGCUAUUCCUCCCAGUCAACAAACAAAAAAAGACAAAUUAUUUUGACCGAGUCAAGACAAAUUACGCAAACUGUAAAAUGUCAGAAAGAAAAAUUCUGACCGAGUCAAGAACCGGCAAGAAAAAGAUAUUCCAUGAACUAUAAGUUAUUUUGAUAUGACUGAAAUGGAAAAUAAUACUUGACUUGCAUUCGGUUGGCUUGCCUAGCCCGUAAAUGGUGGCAAGAGCGAUCUGUGAUCAUCACCUCAUCAGGAAUUGUUAUCACAGCGUCAAGAUUAUCGUUUGCCUGGCGGGCAUUGUGACAACGGUCCAAAUGAAAUGCCUCAUCGUAUGUAAGUAGUGAUCAUAAUUUAACUUUCUAGUAGUAUACGCGGAUUACCUUCAAAGAAGGUUAAUGAUAUAUGGUUUAUCAGAUUUUGGUGAAUGUAAUCAAUACUUACAACGUCUUAAUUGAAUGGUACAUGAUAUUGAUUCAUGGGUUACACGCAGUGUCUUUCUUAAUUUGCACAUGUUGUGUGCACCGAUUGCGUCAAUGCACUUUGCAGCAGCAAGUACUGUUUUAUGCUAAUGUCUCAUCAACCCAAUUUUGGGCCCAAUCGCAAAAUUAGGCAAAGCUUAUAGACUGAAGAAACCGACAUGAAAUUCUGUAACAAAUGUGCCAUUAUCGUUCAUUAUUAAAUACCCUCCCAUUGCUAUUAUGAAACGACAGCUUAACUUGCUGUAGUCAAUCCAUUGUGCUUUUUUUUUUUUAAUACAACUGAUUAAAUAUAAUCAAUUUCUUAUAUGGGGCCUCGAGAGAAGUGUUUUGACUACUCUCAGAGGGCACAAUGGCUCAGAGCUGUUGUCCUAGCAGGCGUUGAAGGGUUAGCUUUGAGCCUUUGACAAUAUUAUGGCUCAUGGCAGUAGAAAAAGCUACACAUAAUAAUUCUACUACAAAUGAAAUGAAGAUCAUGCUAAUCUCAGGGACACUUGGCUUUAAUUGCCGGGGCCAUGAGAAUUGCAACUUCAGUAUUGGUGUCUGUUUACACUCAAGUUGAUACAAUCAACUUUCAAGCGGAAAGAGACUUCAAAAUGGAACGCUCCGUUGAUCAGAGGACGGCGGUUCCUAGUGCAAUUCAGAUAGCCGUGGCAUCAUCGCUCGCUUUUUUGUUUUGGGGCAAAGUGCCUAUGCUUGCAGCUGGGUUUAUAAGAUCAUCAUUUGGGGUCUUCCAUUGCCUUGGUUGCAGCAACUUUGUCGAUGGUGAUGUUGGGAAUCGUUGGAGCAGCACUUGGAAAAGUACCCACUAUGAGGUCUUGUGUUAGAGUUGUCGUGGGGGGAUUUGUAGCAGUCCCAAUAAGGUGGGGGAAGGUUAAAAUUAUUGAAAAUAGGCUUCAGAUCAAUGAAGGCAUAAAAUUUUAAUUAGUACGUGGUUGCAUGGCUUGUGCUGCAAUCUAAAAGAUGAAAUAUAUAUGCUCAUUUUAGAUGGUCUCUGACUUAUUCAAAUUGGCCAGGGACAGGUAAUUAGAUCAAAUAAAAAUAAAUUUCUAGAUCUUAUAAAUUAAUCAAUUCAUUUGCCAUUAACCUAAUACUCAAGAUCAUUUAUAAUAUGGACCUUCUGUUGUAUGCCAGAUUUCUGUAAACUCAUAAUAUAAUUAAGAACUAAUCAAGUAGUUGACCCCAAUCCUAGAGAUUAAAGGAGAUUUAUUGGACCAUAAAAUGUUCGGUAAAAUUUUCCCGACACUCCGGCGACGGAGUAGUUUCUUCCAAAUUAAGGGGCGGGAUUUGAAGAAAGUUUUGAGGUCAUUCCAAAUGUGAUCGUUAGAGGAGACUUAAAAUUGUGUGUUUAUUGGGUUCUUGACUUCUUGUUGUAUCGGCAAAGGAGUCUACACGCUCUACUCGUGUUUGAUAUCUUGGCCAGCAUAAUAUAUUGGGUCCAACUGAAGAUCCCAAGUAUGGAAUGAAUGUGGAAUGAAUUUAGAGAGAGAAAAUAAAUAAAUAAUAUUAAAUUUCAUGAACUGUUUCAAAAAUAACCUCUUUAACCCAAUUGAGAAACUUGUUAUAAUUAAGUACUAAAUUCACUCACAUUCACAUUUUCGAAUUUUAAAACUUGAAAGUGAUAUGUUUUAAAACUUAAAAGGGAUAUACAACCUUUUAAUAAUAUAAUUUAAUUCAUUGUAAUGUUAAAUAGAGAUUUUGUAGCGAAUUAUAAAAUUAUUAGUUCUAAUUUUGAAUAGAGACUUUGUAGGGAUUCAAACUAUUUAAUUAUAAACAGAGAGACUCUGUGUGGAUGAUCCAUGUUGGAAGUAUCUAUUAUAGGGAGAUCAUGUAUGAAAUAACGAGCACAAGUUUAAUUAUUAAUUUGCUGCUGGCCAGGAUUUGUUUUCAUAUAGUUAAAUGUAAAUUUCAGCAAAUUUGACAAUCUCAUCACCCCCAGAUGAAUUAAUUUAUAGUUCUACUGUCUUCUCUAGACAAUCUUUAAAUUAGCAUUAUUGUAAAGAGACCCAGCUAAAGCAUCUUGGAGUUUUCCACAUUGCGCUCGAGAGAAAAUAAUUUUAAAGCUACAAAUGGAUUGGGCGGUGAACUUUAGAAAAGAAUUUUGUGUGUUGGGGGGGGGGGGGUUUGAGGAUUAUAGAAUACAUCUGUUGUAUUACAAUCAAUUGAUGUAUGCAUUUGAUGUAUGCAUGACAUGUGUAAUUAAAUUUUAUGCAACCACCACUUGCAUGAUGGUUUACAAAAUAAAUGCACACAUGUCAUGAUAUUAUUUGAUUGUUGUAUGAUUGACAUGGUAUAACAGAUGUAUUCUAGAAUUUCUCUCUUAUGGGAUAUCUAUCCUCUCUGAUGUUUUAAUUAAUUAAUUAAUUAAAUUUAUUUAAUGUUCUAUAUGUAUGUUUAAAUCUUAGAGAAAUCAAAGUCUUUGCGUAAUAUCCCCUUCCAUUGUAUCCUUUGUUUGUGUUUUGAUUGAAAUGGAAGGCAUGUCAUGGUGCAAAGGCUCAACAGGUUUCUCGAUCGGAUGUCAUUUUUUACCUUUUAACUGCCUUGCUAGUUGUGUUAUAAAUAAUGGUUGGCCUUCAACUUCAAGUAUUCUUCUAUACAUACGUGGUACCAGUGGCGGACCCAUAAAUUUUAUCUAGCAGAGACUUAGUGCAAUACAAUUAAAAAAAAAAAAAAAUCACUAACAAGCUCGUAUAUAAGCCAGUAAGAGGCUGUUUCAACUUAACCUAGGUAUUCGGUUUGAAACUUGAAAAUGCAAUUGUGUUAAAUACUUAUUGGGAGAGUUUUGCCGCCUUAGUGAUCCUACUCAGCUCGAAUUUGAAUUAGUCGGGACUCAAUGUGAUCAUUUGAUACCAGAUGAUUUAAUACACCGAAAAAAAUUCAAACAAAAACAACAAGUGCCAAAUUAUUGAACUUCAUUAAAUUAAUAAUUUUCAACACAUUUACGACUAUCAUCAACUCAUUUUCAGUUUUUUAAAAAUUACGUACUAUAAUAAUUUCAUUAUCAACUUAAUCAACAAUUUGAAAUUUUGUUGUUUUCAUACAAUGACUUAAAUUAGAAUAAUUAUUUGAGGCAAAAAAAAAGGUUACCACAAAUAGUAAGAAAUUUAGUUGAUCAAAUAACUCUAUCUCAACUAGUCGUGUUUAAUUCAUAUGAGAAAAUCUUAAUACUUCCUUCGUUUUUUUAUUUGAAUGUGAUAAAAAGAUCGUGCAAUUUUAUUUUUGAAAGAGUGAUGAAACCGGUUGGCUAAUUAAAAAGCUAAAAACCAAUGACUUUUGCCUUGAUAUUUUUGAAAAUUUAAAGUUAUAAGAUGACAAUUAUGUCAAUCAAUUAAAUCAUCACUUAAACACUCCUUUCAAGUCUAGUAUAUAUAAAACAAACUAAAACAUGAGCCAAACAUAUAAAUAUUUUCAAAGGAAAAUUUGAAAGUUUAGAAGAAACUUUAAACUUUUAAAUUGACCAAUUAUUAUAUAUUCAAAUAAAUUUCAAAGCUCAGGAGAGCCUACACUAGGUCCACCCAUGCGUGGCACGUUUCAAUUGAAUCACGAGGUGCUGGUCUCUUACUUUAUCAUUAUCAGCUCCAAUGUAGGUAGCCUAAUUAAUUAUAAUUAAUGCUGCAAUGUUACCUCGCUCUCAAGUCUCAAUCACAAACGAAAUUAAACCAGGCAGGUAAGCUUCAUAAUUUUAAUUUAAGGCUGCAAUGUUACCUCUCAAGUCUCAAUCACAAACGAAAUUAAAUCAGAUAAGUAAACUUUAUAAUUUUAAUUUAAGUCAAUAGUUACUUUAGAGCUGCUCCAAAGCAGAAUAUAAAUCACAGCUACAUGCGUUAUAACUUUCAAUUAUGUAAUUAUAAAAACAUGUUGUACUUUACAGUGGUUCCAACAUAUCCAGUUUUUUAAUUUAAAGAUAAUUUAUAUCACAUGAAAUUUAGUACCCAGUGAACCAUUAUUACAUUAGUAGAGGUAAUUUACCAUUAUGAAAGUUAAUAAUUAACAAGCUAGCUAAUGCUAAUUACUAAGACUUAUGUAAUUAGCUUCCUAUUACAUUUUAUAUAUUGAUGGAUUAAUUCAUUGUGUCCUUGCCUGUGUUUGUUUUCCAUGGGAUCUCAACUAGAGGGUAUUUUGGCUCCGUUUUACUUUCAUUUCAAUGUGUUUAAAGGGGAGGGGGGGGGGGGGGGGGGGGGGGGGGGGGGGGGCGGCGGAGAGAUGUAAUUUCGACAAACAAAAAGGACUUCUCAAUUUUGAUCAAACGUCACCAUGAUGGCCCCUUUUAAGUAAUUUCUAAAAAACUUUCUUCAUAAACUGAAUUUGAUUCAUCACAUGUUAGCGUGAUGAAUUUACCAGUGCCGGCGGAGUUUGUCUGCAUGCUCAAGAUGAUAUCAUGCUCUGUGAUGGAAAGAGGCUGAACUCUAACCAUGCCUUGUGUCACGGCCCCCUCGCAUCCCACGCUAGAAUCAUCCAUGGGCCAGGCCAUGUUGGAGGCUUGGCCCGUGACACUUGUGAGCUGAGUUGUUUGCUUUGAAGGUUGUUAACUUUAAUUUUUUAUUUUUUUUUCCAAUUUACAUUUUAAUUCACGUCACUGAUUAAAUAAUGAAUGAUUUCUAUGAUAAUUGUUUUUUAAAAAAUACUCUUAAGAAGAAAUAUCUUUAACAUGAGCAUAUUUUUUAGUUUUAUUUGAUCGGGUAUAAAAAAAAAGGAUAAAAAAUGUAAUAAAGAUAAAAGUGGCAAUUAGAUGAGAUAUAUUCAGAGAAAGAAAUUAUUUUUAAUUUUUUAUCGUAGGAUUAGUUUAGAAGUAGGGCUCCUAUGAUAAAAAAAAAAAUUAAAAAUAGAGCUGAUGAGAUAUGUUGAGGGAUGAAAAAUCACCUCCACUCGUGGAUUAAUUACAUUGCUUCCUUUCGACGCAUCUGCGACUAUUUAAUUCAGACUUAAAUCUGCGAGUUCUAGGCGGGCCAAACUGGUAAGCCCAUGUUGACCUUGCCCAUUCUCGGCCCAAUGAGAACCCGGAUCGAUAUUUAUUUACUAAUUUUUAACCUCGAAGUAACGAAAGCGAAACCUUGAAACAAAGCAACGGCGGGACGGGAUCCCGGGAAAGAUGAGCUCAGUGAGCUUCUCUUCGAUCUUCACAAACAAUGGCCGGAGUUUGGGUGCACCGGUAUCCCUCCUGCGCACGUUAGCAUCAACACACGCAUCUUGUCAUAGAAAUAUCUAUAAGAGCAAUGUUGUUUUAUCUUUCUCUUCAAGUAACAGAAACUUUGUUUGCGAAUCCUGGAAACGACAUGUAUUCACUCACACAGACACAGCCGCUACUGCUGCUGCCACAACUCCUUCGUCUUAUGAGUAUUCUCGAAAUCCCUUUUUUUUCCCCAUUUUUGCCACUUGGCUGUCUCUCUAAGUUAAGCUCGUACUCCUUGAAAAUAAGGCGGCUACUGGGACAAAUAAAAAUUUGUAAACUUUUUAACUUGUUCUUUGUUUGGUUGCUGAGAAAGUUGGGGAAAAGGAAGGAAAAAAAGUUGGAAUUUAAUGCCUACUCCUUAAGUUUUGUCUGCUGUUGUUUUCAAAUGGGUGCAGAUGAUUUCAGCUUUUGUUUUUUGUCUUAUUCUGAAAGAUUUUUUUUUUCUUUUGAUUUGGUCUCCCACAUUUUGUUGGUGGGUGCUGAAUAAAUUAGAAAUACACGGCAAUACUUUUUAGGGUGUCUGAAUGUAAUUUUUAUGGAUUUUUUCCCCCUAAAACUCUGGUUUUCAAUUUGAACUUCAAGCUAAAGUAUGGCAGAUUGAGCUUGCACUUUUGUUGGAAGCUCCAAUAAUUGAGGAAGCGAAAGUGAAAGAGAAUAAAUCCUUGAAUCUCAGUCUUUUACUAAAAGAAAAUUCCAGUUUGUGGGUGCUGUAAAAUUGAAAAUUGGCGCACUUAUUUUUCUGGUUGUUCUUUUAAAUUUCAGUUUCAUGGAACUUAUAAUGUUGUAAAUUUUAAUUCUGUGCAGCAUUUUAUCUUGUUGGAUGCAGGGAAUAUUAACCUAUUAAGCUUUGUUUUUCUAUUUGUGAUCUGUUACCAUUAUUCCUGCUAAGUGUGCAGCUCUUCUUCCCUAUGUUUCUUUUAUUUAAUGACACCUAAUCAUCAAGCUUCGUGACUUUUGGUAUUUUUCUAUUUCAGCUAUCCUGAAUAUCAUCGCUUGCUUCCAUGCCCCUUACAGAACUGUCCACCAAGAGUUGAACAUUUAGUUGUUUCAGAAGGAGGGCCUGUUCUAGAAUAUAUCUGUAGAGAACUGAAUCUUCCCCCUCUGUGAGUGCUCCUCUGUUUGAAAUUUAUAGGUUUUUGAUUGAUGGUUCAAGUAACGUAUGUUGUAUUUCCAAAGUUAUCUGAUUUUAAUGAGAAUGGAGUGAUAUAUAUACAUCAUUUCAUUCUUUGAAGGUUUGUUGCAGAUCUUAUCCAUUUUGGAGCUGUUUAUUAUGCCCUUGUAUGUCCAAAACCUCCUCUAACUGCAACUCCUGAGCAGAUGAGGGUAUUUAAAGAAGUUACGGAUCCAUCAGUUCUCAGUAAAAGAUCUUCUAUCAAAGGAAAGACAGUACGAGAAGCACAAAAAACGUUUCGUAUAACUCAUGUGGACCAGAUUGUUGAAGCCGGAACAUACUUGCGUGUGCAUGUACACCCAAAACGAUUCCCAAGGUGGAACACAAGUUUUGACUGAUGUUUACUAUGAUUUCUGACAAGCAAUAUAAAAUACCUUCGAAUUUUGUUCAGGUGCUAUGACAUUGACUGGAAUUCGAGAAUCAUAGCAGUGACUGAAUCCCAUGUGGUUUUGGACAAACCGGCUGGGACAUCUGUAUGUAAUUCAUCAAUUAAGAUCUCAUUUUCUUUAUUUGCUGAUUUCAGCAUGUAAGAUGUGAUAAGUUGUUCGCAAUGCGCUUUAGUAGUUAAUUAUUACUCUUAUCUUAGGAGAAAAUUGUCCUGUUUUGAGCUAGAGUCAGCAGCCCUCUGCCUGUUUAUGCUGUUGACCAUGCUGUACCUUUUCCUCUUGAUAUAUUUUAUUUGGUACAUUUCCAAAUGCUUUUCUGACUAGUCAGCUUUUGUUUGUGGUGUCUAAUUAUUCCUUGUGAACAUUGGUUAGGUGGGAGGAACCACAGACAACAUAGAAGAAAGUUGUGCAACAUUUGCCUCUCGUGCCUUGGGAUUAACUACUCCUCUGAGGACCACCCAUCAGAUUGAUAAUUGCACAGAGGGCUGGUAUUGCUAUUUUACAACAUUAGCAUAGUAGCUCUUAAUGUCAUUAGAAUAUAGUUUUUUCUCUUUUUUUCCCAUUUUUCAUGUGGACUUUUUCAAUAAAUACAUUUUUUUGUUUAUUAUUGAACACAAAAAUAUUAUUGGUAUUGGUACACAACGUAAUAAUGACUAAUAAUUCUUCUGUAGUGUUGUGUUAGCCCGGACUCAGGAGUACUGCUCAAUUUUCCACAGAAAAAUCAGAGUAACUUUUUAAUUCCAAUUCUUAGAUUUGAUUAUUUAUACAGCUUAUUUUGCAAAAGCUUAAGUCCUGUUUAGGAUAGCUGCUGCCAAACCUACAUUAUAGGAGAGAUUUUCUCCUAAAAUACAGGUUUGGGGCAGCUGUCCUAAACGGGCCUAUAGUCUAGCAACUCAGGAGCUGCAAGGUGAAAAUUUUAUCUUGUCUUUCUCUAUUAGGGCUUCCCCUUCAGUGUCAAUAGAGUAUGAGGCAGAUGAAACCAUAUAUUUUUGAUAUAGCAUAUUUAUUAAGUGUUAUUAAUUUUCUGUUCAUACCCUGAAGUCAUUUGCUUUGAAAUGAUAUUUUGUUUUUUAUUUAGGAGAAAAAGGUGAAGAAGCUUUAUCUUGCUCUUACUACUGCUCCUCUGCCAGUUGGAAUAAUGACUCACUAUAUGCGUCCUAUUAAUAUUGCCCCAAGACUUGUUUCAGAAGGUAAGACCAUCUUCGGCCUUGCCCUGAUGAUUAGAGAAAUGGUUUGGAAAUUUGAAGCAUGCAUUCUCUAGCCCUGAGAUUGACAGACCUGUAGCAUGUAAGUGUUCAAACAAAGGUUUAUGAAGAAGUAUCAACGCGUAUGGAAAUUGAAAGUGUAGGCCUUGAGGUUCGUUUGAAAAAAAGAAAAAAUUGAAACUGUAGGCCGCUACAUUUUCAUCAUAUUUCCCUUUCUUUUUUGUCCAUUUUCUCAGUUUUUCAAAUCAUGAUCACAAAAUGGUGUUAGAUCUUAUGUAGAGAUACAUUAGCAAUUGGGAAACAAAUUGCAUCCUUAUUCUAGGUGCCGCCAACCCCUGCUCCCUCUUUUUUUUUUUUAAUCUUUUAAGUGAAUUUGAACUUAUAUCUGAAUUGUGUUUCUCUCCUUUAGAUCCUUUCGGUAAAAACUUUCUAAUACCUGUUGUCAUGUGGUAGGUUCAAUUUUAAUAAUGUACUCUUUUUGUAAGUUGGUCGACAGCACUUUUUGUCUUGUCUCUGUAUAUGGGAAAUUAAUUAUAUAGAAGAGCUUUAUUGCAUGCAGAUUUUAUUAAAGGAUGGUACUUAUGCCAACUUGAGGUUAUGGAAUGCAAGAAAGUACCAUGGCCAGAUGCUACUGUUGGAAAAGCCUAUUCUAUAGAAGACUGUGGAUGGCCAUCAAGAGAUUAUGCAUAUGAGUGUAAAAUCAAGCUCUUGACUGGCCGGACUCAUCAGGUUAUUGAUCUGUCCUUUUGUUACCUAAUUUUGCUGGUUUUAUGUUAUUAUAAAGUUUGAUCUAUCCUGCAGUUGUCAGUCAUGCAUUAUAGAAUUUCCAUAAAUGUUACUUCAAAUGCCAAUCUGUGCUUUGGAGCUGGGUCUAAAAGGUGAUAACAUCCCUGUCAAUUUGUUUUUUAAUGCUUCCUAAAGUAUUGUGUUGAAUUUAAGUUUGACCUUGAGAGCAGAAAGUUCCUCGUUGUGUAGGGUUCAAUGAAUUAACCCAGAAUAUUUGACUGGGUUUAUGGGGGAAACUGAAAAAAGUAUUUAGCUUGUUCUAUACGCUUGAUUUUCAGGUUCUUUGGUCGAAGACAUAAAUCAAUGUUAAUAUUGUGUUGAAAAUGGUGGUCAGAGUUGUAAAGCAAUUUUUCUCAUUUUAUUGUAUAUGGCAGCUGCAAUCAUAGUUUUUUAUGUUAUAAGAUGUGAGAGUAGGAUGGCAUUGAAUAAACUAAAUGUUAACCUACUCUUUUCUAAGCCUAUGUAACCUGAGGCUGUGAUCAGGUGCGAGCACAACUGGCUGCCUGUGGUGCACCGAUUGUGGGUGACUCGAUGUACAUGCCAGCUGCCAUUGCACAGUUGUCCAGCCCUGGGCUUAAUCCCUUUGGCAAAUGCCAGAAAGAAUACGCAAGUGAUGAUGAUAAAGAAAUGGCUGUGAUUGAGUGGAUUUCACAGCAUGGAAAGGAACCUAGUGUUGCUAUUGGUCUGCAAGCAUGUCAUAUCUCAUGGGAUGAUGGUGAGUGCUGUUAUGAGGCUAGAUCUCCUUGGUGGAGAUGUAAGUGUAAUGUAGGUUCUGGGGUAUGAAGAUCAAUGAUACUCCAUUAUUUUCUCAGAGCUGAAGGUGAGGUCUGUCUCUCAUAUCACCAUAUUUAGAGUCCUGACUUCAGUUUGCAUUUUUCAAAAUAUUGUUCAUUGAUAAAUAAGAUGCAUCUUAUGUAUGUAGGUAUAGCUCGCAAAAGACAGAAUCCACAUAGAAACAAACUAAAAUUGGAGCAAAUUUGGUAAUGUUGCGCAGAGAAAACAGAUCAUGACCUGUGGUUUUUGGAGAACUCAGAUUCUGAUGUAGAAGAAGGCAAUGAAAGCAUGAUUUUACCAGAGACCAUCUCUAUCACUGUUUCUGUGUUUCUCUCUCUAUCUGAUUAAGUAGAAUGGUUUAUGCCUACAAUAACUCCUUUAUAUAUUUGUGACCAUUGAGAUAUGUGAUGAAAAGCGUAAUUGUGUUUUAAGGAACUACCCGUUCCCUUGUAUGAUAAUGUUGAUGACUUCUUAUUUAAUUGCUUCUUUGUGGCAUUGCCCUUGGAGUAAUUAAUGGUAAAUAUUCAGUUGAUUCAGCCUGCAAUUGUCUUCACUUUGAAUAACCGUUGAUUUUUUAUAUGUUUCCACAAGCAGUCCAUGCUGCAUUGAAUAAUGGAAAUCUGUAUUGGUUAAGCUGCUUCUCAGAAUAGCAACUUUCAGUUUGAUUAAGAGUAGAGUAUGAAUACAUCUCUAUACUCUAGAAUGCUUCACACAUUGUAAAUUAUGAAUUCUCUCAUUUUCCUGGAUGUGCUGUGUGUGGCCAUAUUUGUAAUUUGUUAUUGUGUCUGAGAUGAACGUGGAGAGAAGAUUAUGAAUACCCUUAGAACUGGGGGUGUUUUGAAGUAUGCUUUGGUGACUGGGAUUUGAUUAGCUUAUGCUUUGCAAUGAAGUGUUUGUACCAAGUCGCUGACAGCUUAGGAGUCCUCUUCAGUGUUGCAAAAUCAACAUGGUGAAGGCCGAACCUUGCUGUGUAGCCAUAGGUCCAUUCAAAGGAGUCCAGCAAGGACCAGACAAAAUAGCCCCUAACAUCUGCUCCGUCUCUGUGUAAAUACGAAAGAAAGGAAAUCGGCCAUUGUAGUACUUGCGUGAGUUUACAUAUUAAAAAGAUUGCACUGCAUUGGGAGCUGCAUAAAUAAUGCAUAACCCUUUUGUUCUGAUUGUUUAAUAGUAUUUCAUUUCGUGUUACCACAUUCUUACCUCACUGCGGUUAUUAGCGCAUCCAAGUAGCUAGCCAUGUACUCAACUCUUUUUACAUCAUUGAGUAAGUCUUCAGUGCUGGAAUUUGGCAUGCAAAUCUCACCAUAUCCUACAAGAUAUCAUACAUUUUAAAGAAGAUACGUGGCAAUAUUGUGAUGAGCUGGCCUGGAAAUUUUUUCUUACCAUUUUCCGUGAUGAACAUGGGUGUGUUCUUGUAUCUUUCUUUAAUGUAUUUUAUUAUCUUCCACAUUCCUUGCGGGUAAACAUUUAGCCAAAAUAAUGUUGUCUGCACAGCCAAAAGCUUCAGCAGCUUGUAAAUGCAUCAGGAAGGUCAGUUAUCAUGGUGAUGAAUUUAGGUACUCACAGGUUCGCCAAGGGGGACACCGUGUUUCUGUGAAUUUUGUAGGCAAAAUCCUUCCGUCUUGGAAGCACCUGGUCCAGGUUUGCAUGCAGAGAAGAUGCAGUCUUGGACGUAGGUACUGGUGUAGUGAUUGAUGCCAAUGAAGUCCAGGCCCUGCUUCAGUUUCUCCUUAUCCCUGCUUGAGAAUUUUGGUAGUGUGGAACCUACAAUAUUCAUCAUCUCUGCAGGAUAUUUCCCAUAUAUUAUUGGGUCUAGAAACCUGCAUCAGAGCCAAGAUUCAUGAAAGCCUUAUUGACGAAAAUAAGUUUGCAUUUCUGCAUGUUCAUUGAUGGAAAAUGAUUGACUGAGAAGUUAAAAGAACUAACCAAUUCAUGUAGAAGGAUUGAGCUCUUUCAGCAGCUAACUUGUCUGCUGUGGAGCUGCUGAUGGGUUCAAACCACAGUGUGUUUAAGAUAAUGCCAAUGCUGCCUCCUUGAUCUUUCUGGACUUUCACUGACACAGUAAGCUUACACCAAAAACUUAAAUAUUUUUUAAUUUUUAACACUGCAAUAUGUUUAUUGUAGCUGCUAAUCCCUGGAAUUGGUGACUAAAGAAAGCAGGGUUUCGAUCUAAUAUUGGUUUUAGUGUUACUACCUGGUAUUUGGUUCGGUAUAUAUCAACUGCAGUUGCAUGCGAUAAGAUGAGAUUGUGAGCUGCUAUAAAAGGCUCCUCCUCUGAAUUGCCCUGACUGCAAUUUCCAAAUGGCUGCGAGCAAUGAGCUGGGGGAUGGCAGCCUAAACGAUAACUAAGGGUAACCUGCAUAUUUGGCUCAUUGAUGGUGAACCAGUAUUUCACUCGGUCUCCGAAAGAUUUAAAACAAAUGUCUGCAAAAUAUCCAAAAUCCUCCCUGGAAAAACAAAAGGGAUGUAUGAACCGUUAACAUGAUCAGAUCAUUUCCAGCAGCAUAAUCAAAAUCAUGCUCUCACAGAAAAUUUCUCACUGUGAUUCAGGGCUUAGCCAGGCUCCGUAUUUGUCUUCAAUUUCUUGAGGACUAUCAAAUUGAGUCAGUGUCACAAAUGGCUGGAUCCCUGUAAGUGCAGAAUUGAGGAAAUAAGAAAGAGAACACAAGACUUCAUGUGGUGAAUAUCAAAGGAGACUGUAGUGAACCUUUCAGUAAGAGGGCAUCAAUGAGCUUGUUGUAGUGGUUAAUACCCUCUGAAUUGACGUCUCCAAAUCUCCCUUCUGUUAAAUUGUAUCAAAAAAUUACUUUCUUUCCUAGCAACAGCAUUUUACGUGCAAACGAGAAAUAGGAUGAAAACGUACUUGGUAAAAUUCUUGCCCAUGAAAUUGAGAAGCGAUAGCUGUUCACUCCCAGGGAUUCCAUAAGAUCGAUGUCUUCCUAUUUUCAUCAAUGCAGCCAUCUCAGAAAUUUUCAACAAUUAAUCUCAUUCUAUACAUGGCCACAUAUUCAAGAAAUUUGUACGGUUGAUGCUUGAUUGAAAUCAUGUAGUUAUAAUUGGCUCUUCCUUUUAACAUUGAUAUGUAUAUUAUUAUGAAAAAAAAUCUGUUAGAUAUUUGUAAUUAGAAAUCUACUGAGAUAAUCUAAAUCAAGUUUAUUAUAACACAACCUAAAUUUCUAUCCCCACUAAUAUUAUAAAGAGAUUUUACUCUAUUAAUGUAAGGCAGAUAUCUAAUUUUAAAGUUGAGAGGAAAUAAAUUUAUAGCAUAUGAUGAGGCUCUUUAUUUAUUUGCUGGUAAGCAAAUGGGAAGAACAAGGAGAAGUGAUCAAGAAAUUAUUUCCCCUUCGCUCCAGUCAAAGUAUCACUGAAUGAGUAAUACAAAAAUAAAUAACGUGGAAAUGGGUCCAUCGCAGACAGGCUUUCUCUUAACAGUUCAUGUAUAUUCAUCAGAGAAAUAAAGACUUUUUUUUUGUCUAAAAGCAGCAGAUUUCAUUUUCAAUGGCUAACCAAGUAAACAUCAAAUGAUAGUGCUCGAGUGCCAUUCACUUUUGAAGAAAAGAAACUAAGUAAACCAUUUAAUGCUGGCCACGUCAACGAUAUUAUUUCACCUAACAGAAGUGUCUUCUCAUAAAUAUCAUCUUUAAUUUCUAUAAAAGAUUUAGGAUAUUAUUAAAUGCUCGCCUAAUAUUUUUUAACACAUCGUUAAGAUUUUUUGACAAUAAUAUUUUACCACAUAAUAUUUUUAUUUUUAUCAUUUUACUAUCAAAUAGUUAACUAUAUUUAAAAAAUGAUGACUAACUUGUAAGGGUAUUUAAAAUAUUUCAAUUUGAUAAGUUUAAACAAUAAUGGUGAUUUGAUAUAUAAUGGAAAAAAAAACAUGUAGUAAUUUGAUAACUUCCCAAUAAGUUAGUGUUAAAUCGAUAAUAUUUCAAUAAAAUAUUACAGUUAUUUAGGAUUAUUAAAUUAAAUAUUGCAAUUAAUAUGUAUUUACUAAAUUGAUUUAAAUAGCUAAACACAAAUUUUAAAAGAACGAGCAACUAAAAUAAAAUAAUUUUCUUAAAAUAAUUAUUUAUUUUUAUUAAAUUUAUUAUUAUAGUUGAUUGGGUCUAGGAACCUGGACACUACUUAUACAUGGGCGUUACAAGGGAAGGGCCCGAAAGUGAGCAAUCAAUGAAUGUUCAGACGAGGUUCUAUAAAGUCCAGAUGAAUUAAUCAUUGUCAGAAAAAUCCAACAAAAAGUAAGUAGGAGAAAAGACUGAUUGAAAAAAAAGAAAAAAGAUUUCGUAGUCCAAUUCUCCACCUUAAACUGUAUAUAAGAUAUAUUUUUUUGUAUAAAUAGUACGUAGAUCCCAUAUAUAUAUUAUUUAUGUGAGGAUGAUGUAUGUUAGAUAUAUGAUUAAAAAAAAAAAAAGAAAAAAGAUUUGUAGUCCAAUUCUUCACCUUAAACUGCAUGUAAGAUAUAUUUUUCUCAUAUAAAUAGUACAUAAGUCCCAUAUAUGUACUGUUCAUGUGAGGGGGAUGUAUGUUACAUGCAUGAUUGAAAAUAAAGAAAAAAGAUUCAUAGUCCAAUUCUCCAACUUAAACUGUAUGUAAGAUACAUUUUUCUCAUAUGAAUAGUGCGUAGGUCCCAUAUAUGUACUGUUCAUGUGAGGGGGAUGUAUGUUACAUGCAUGUAAGAUAGGGAUUGCCUAAACUUAAUAAUAAGAAAAAAAUUAUCAUUAAAUCACAUCUCUUUUGUCUUAUGUUUAUCUAAUUAUUAUAAAAUUUUAAUAUAUUUUUUACACCACCUUUCUUUUUUAAUUUGUAUCAACUAGUCACUUUUAUACUAAUACCAUUCAAUAAUUUAAAUAAAAUGAUAAUUUUACCUUAAAUAAAUUAAAAGAUCAUUCUUAUUUUAUAAAGAUUUAAAAAUAAAAAAUUAUAAUCAUAAAAAUACCCCUAAAUUUAAUAAAAAAUAAAUCCCAAAAUUAGAAUAUUUAUUUUUUAAUAAAAAAUUAUAAUUAUAAAAAUAAUUACAAAAUUUUGGGAUUUAAUAAUAAUCUCCUAAAUUAUCAAAAUUUUGGGAUUUAUUUUUAAUAAAUAAAUUCAGUUAUUUUAAUAAAAUUUUGUAAAAUUAUAAUUUUUAAUAAAUAAAUUCAGUUAUUUUAAUAAAAUUUUGUAAAAUUAUAAUUUUUAAUAAAUAAAUUCAGUUAUUUUUAUUAAAAUAUUACAAAAUUAUAAUUUUUAAUAAAAAUAAUUAUUAAAAUUUUACAAAAUCUAAAUUUAAUAAAAAUCAGCUGAGCACCUCUAUUUGGGAUUUUUUUUAAUUAAAUUUAGGGGUAUUUUUAUAAUUAUAAUUUUUUAUUUUUCAAAGUUUUUAUAAAAUUAAAUUAUCUUUCAAUUUAUUUAGAGGUAAAAUUAUCAUUUUAUUUAAAUUAUUUAAUAGUUUUAGUGUAAAAGUGGCUAAUCGAUACAAAUUUAAAAAGAAAGGUGGUGCAAAAAACAUGUUAGAAUUUUGUGGUGGUUGGAUAAAUAUAAUGUAAAAAAGAGGUGGUGCAGUGAUAAUUUUCUAAAAAAAAAUUCAAAUAAAGGGUAAAAUAAUUUUUUAACAAAGAAAAAAAAAUUAAAUAUUCUAUUUCUUUUAACGACCGGUGGUAAAAUCAUAACAAUUAAAAUAUCAGGUUUAGCUAUAAAAACCCUUGAUAACAAAAUGAUAUAUCAAAAAUCCUGAUAAAGUGAUAUAUUCCCAAACAAAUUGUCUACUUUAAUUUGACAUUGUCAACUCCUUAGUGCAAUGUGGGCCCUUUUAAAUUUUGUUCAAAAUUAGGGAAAAAAAAAAAAAAAAAGGUGUGGAGGAGGCAAAACCAGAUAGCGAUGAUAAUGAUCCACGGCUACAUCCCCACUGCUUCCAUCAUCUAUGUUUCCUGCCACACAUAAAGCUUUCUUUACGUCAAAUGAAUUUGUGAAUAUAUGAUGAAGCAAAUGAACUUAUGUGUAAAACCUGCUGAAGGUUUGCUGGAGACAAAAUGAAUCAGGAAAAGCGGUUCUCUUGUUUCAAAAAACAUGGGAAUGUUGCAGCAGUUCAGGUAAGUUACAAAUAAAAUUGCACAAAACUCUGUUGGAUCAUGGAAAGGAGGAAUUCUUCUUACCAGGUGUAUGAGUAAAAACAUCCCAGUUGCUCAAACCUUUACCUUCACUCAAAUAAGCACCUUCGACCUGCAAAAAGUAAAAUUAAAUUUUUUUUUUUUUUAAGAAAAAGAAAAAGAAUGUGAGGCUGACUUAAGUUUUAUUUUAUCAUAUUUGUUUCCAUUAUGGAAAGUAUGAUGAAUGAAACUGUGUGAACACAUAAGAAUAUAAAUGGUAGUAGGAAUACCAGAAGCCAAACCUGAUAUGAGGAGGUGGAAGUUCCAAAGAGAAAGUUGGAAGGAAAUGGAGAUGGAUCCAAGCUUUGUUUCAGAGUUGUUUGAUCACAAGAUAUGAAGAGAGGUGAGAGUAGCAUCAUUAAGAGAAAGAGAGCUGUAUCCACUGUUGGGAAAUUCAUGGCAGCAGUGUGCUUGCUCAUUAAACAUGCAUUACUUCUGUCUAUUUUAACAUAGGAGAGUUGGUGGGAGAGCAAUUCAAAGAAUUUGUUUUCUUGCAUUGCGGAAUAAGGACCGCUUGUAUUCUUGCACUUUGUCUUCACUUUUCGUUGUUAUAUUAUCCAUUUGACCCUUGUGUUGGGCAUGUCAUUAUCAAGUUAGGCAUCCAUUCUUAAUUUCUUUCAAAUUCCAAUUUAUUUUUCAAAUUUCAUUGUUACACGUAGGGGUGGCAAAAAAGCCCGGGCCCAACUCGGGCCCGCAGGCUUAGGCCCGACCCUCAUCCAUGAGGGUCUGGACAAGAGCCCAAGAAAAAAAAGCUCGUACAAAGCCCAAGCCCACUACUUUUAAAAAAAAUUAAUUUUAUAAAUUAGAAUAAUAUAAUUAAAAUUGAAAAGUAAUUUAAAAAUAAAAAAAGAAAACUUAAAUUCUUAACUUAUUAAUCAAUUAUGAUUCAAAAAAGCUAAAAUUAUGAUACUAAAUUUUCUCUUUUGUGUCAAUUAAUUAAGAGAACGUUUGAAUUAGAAAAUCUAGUAUUAAAGAAAAUUAAAGUUAUGAUUUUUUAUUUGCUUUAUUUAUUAUUUUAAUUUAAAAUAUUCAUUUUCUUUAAUUUAUCUAUAAUUUUAAUAACUUGUUGAUCAUUAAUUUAUUUCAAAUUUAUAAUAAUUUAAAAAUUUUAAAUUAAAUAAAUAAAGCCCGAGCCCGGCCCAGGCACGUACACUUAGCUGACAGAGGGCCUGGACAUGGGCUUGAAAAAGUCCGGCCCAGGCUCGCUGUUUGUCAUCCCUAGUUACAUGGUAUUACUCCAUAUAGGUAGUGUUUACUUUCUGGAGUGAGAGUGUAGAGUGUGGAUUCCUCCCACUCCAGUGUUUACUUACCAUUUUUAAGGAGGAGUGGGAUUCCCACUCCCCCCUCUUCUCUUUUUACCCUCAUAAUUAAAAUAAAUAAAUAAUAUCAUAUUUAUUAAAAAUAAUAAUUAUAACAUAUUAUUUUAUUAAAUUUAAUAAAAAUAAAUAAAUAUUAUAUUUAAAUUAAUAAUAUUAAACAUUAAUUUUAAUAAAUAUUAAUUAUUUAUUUAAUUAAUAAUAAUAAAUAUUUUAUUCUAAAAAAAUAUUAAUUUUUUACUAUAUUAUCAAUAAUAAUGUUUCAUUUGUGUUGCUAUUAUUAAUAAUUUUUAUUCACAUAAUUUAAAUUUAAAUUAAUAAAAAAUUAUGAUUUACAUAAUUAAGAAUAUUAUUAAUUAUUAUUAAUUUAUAAAUAUAAUAAAAUAUUUAUUUUAUUUUCCAAAUAUAUUUUUUAUUAAUUUUUUAAUUACAAAUUAUAAUUCUUUACAUAAGGAUAAAAUUGUAAUUUAAAAUAAUUUACUCACAAUCCAAGAUAAAGUAAACAAAUAAUUGGGAUUCUGAUUAACAAUCCAUAUUUUCAUUUAGUCUAAGUAAACACCCUACUCGUACUCCCACUCCCACUCCCACUCUCACUCCACACUCUUAAUCCAAGGAUUCCCACUCCAAUCUAAAAAGUAAAUGCAGCAAUAGUAGAGUAUUAUCUCUGUAUUUUUUUUUUCCCUCAAAUUUCGGCCGCCCUCCAUAUUAAUAAUUUCUGUUUUCUGCCGUUCAGAAGGAAAAAGAAAAAUAUGUUUGAGCAACUGAUUUUGCGGAUCUGUAUUAAUUCUCUAGCGCCAUCUUUGAAAUCGUAGAAGAAAGAGAAUUGUGCUUUCUUGUAAGUUCACAGAUUACUUGAACAGCAGCCAAAAGCUGCAUGAUAUAUAAUAUAUUUUAAACACUAGCACUUAAUGUUUUGUAGGGGUGUUCAAAAUCCAAUUCAAUCCACUCAAUUUAUCUGAUCCGUUCAAAUUCAAUCCGUGGAUUAAUGGAUUGGAUUAGAUUAAAAUUUUGAAAAUCUGAAGUUGUUGGAUUGGAUAUGAAUUCACUUAUGUAAAUUCGCAAAAAUCUGUGAAUUCGUAAAAAAAUUAAAAUAUUUAUUUAAUAAAAAAAUUAAACUUAUAAAUAUGACAUUGUACUUACUAAUAAAUAAAUAAGUUAAAAUAUAGUUACAUUAAAAUCAUAUUAUAUCUUAUUCGAUAUAAUAUAAUAUAAAAAUAAUUAAAUAAAAAAAUUAUCUUCCUAAGCAAUUAAUUUCAUGUACUGAUCUAAACAAAUAAGAUUUUUUUUUUUGUGUGUUAUAUUUUAAAACUUUAAAAGUAUUUCCUAACUUUAUUUAAAUAAUUUAUUUAAAUCUUGUUUAAUUUUGAAUUUGAUCAGUAGUAAAAUCAUUUUAUUAUACUAAUUUUUUUUUAAUUAGUUAGUUCAUUGAUAGGACAUGAUUCAAAAUUUUUAGCCUGCAAACCAAUCAGUAAAAUAAUAAAUUAGAUAUGAGUUGGGUCAAAUCUGCAUCCAAUCAAUAAACGUAUGGAUUGGAUUAAAUUAAAAAUUUAUAAUCUAUAAAAUCGUAGAUCAGAUAUGAAUUAAUGACCGAUCCGCAAAAUCCAAUCCACGAACACUCCUAAUAUUUUGCAUUGCAACUUUGCAUACUAGGGAAUUAUUUGCCCCACUCACCAGUUUGAACUUAAUUUACACAGCACAACAGAACCAAGGACUAUAUGGAGUAUCGGCCAAAUCUGCAGCUAUUGCCUCUUCGGGUAAUUUAUACAACAUUAAAGGCCUACUGCCAUUUCCACUAAAAUUAAACUUUCACUUGGCGUUCAACCUUGAUCUCUUCAUUUUUCCUUUUCUAUUAAUUUUUCACUUUAUGAUCAUGCGGACGCACUGGACCAUUUGCCAGCCAUAUGUUUAGCAAUGUACUGCUUGUACCAAUUUGCUGAUAGUCUUUUAGUUCUCUUGAGUGUGGCAUAAUCAACAUGGUGAAGUCCAAACCUUAUUGUAUAUCCAUCAUUCCACUCGAAAUUGUCAAGCAAGGACCAGGCAAAGUAUCCUCGGACAUCCGCUCCAUUUCUGGAAAAAAAUUAUAUGAUUUCGAUUUUGUUAGUCCCAUUUUAAUUUGAACAUGGCAGAAUACGUCUUAAUUCAGAUUGCAGAGAACAGAAACAUGGUCAAAAAGCUUGCAGCGUUUGUUUAUCUUGAUCUCAGUUAAAUACCAUUUGGGAUCAAGAUUUGAGAUAGAAUUCAACAGACAAAGAGUUUAAAAUGUAAUGCCACACCUCACUGCUAUUGCCAGGGAAUCCAAGUGGCUGCUCAUGUACCUCACUCUCCUGGUAUCAUUGAGUAAAUCUUCAAUGGAGGUAUGGGGAUUGUCCCUCUCGCCAAAUCCUUCACGGCCAACCACAGUAACAUCUGAAGAAUCAACAAAAUGUGUAACCAAAUAAUAAAGCAACAAUUUGAUCUUUGUUCCUACUCACCAUUUUCUGUGAUGUACAUUGGAAUGUUAUUGUACCUCUCCUUUAUGUAUGUCACUAUUUCACUCAUUCCUUGAGGAUAAACGAAUAACCAGUCGACAUCAGUCUGCAUAAAUAAAAGGCUCGAGUAUUAUGCCGCAUACACUCUAUACAAUUGAAAUAGUAACAACUGAGACGACUUACUGGUUCUCCAAUCAAGACGCCAUUUCUUUUUGCAGUUCGCAAUAUAGAGCCCUCAGUCUUACAAUUUCCUGGCCCCGGCUCACAUACAGAAAAAAUGCAAUCUUUUACAUAGAAGCUGGUAUAAUGAUUGAUGCCGAUGAAGUCUAAUCCAUUCUUCAGCUUUUCGACGUCAUUUUUCGAGAAUGAUGGCAAGCUAGAUCCAAGAAUUUCGUACAUUUCCUUGGGAUAUUUCCCAAAUAUGAUUGGAUCCAAGAACCUGCAUUACUUUUAGUUGGAGUCAGGAUUCAAGUUUUAGAACCGUCGCGCUAAAGCAUAUUAGAUGUGGUGAAAAUGCUUACCAGUUCAAAUAAAAAGCUUGAGCUCUCUCAGCUGCUAAUUUGUCUUCUAAGGAAUUGCUCAUAGGUUCAAGCCAUAAAACAUUCAUAACAAUUCCAAUAUUACCUUCUUGUUCUUUCUGAAUAUUCGGGACAUCACGUUUAAUCAAUUAUCACAAUAAUCGAAAUGGUUCUGGGACAUGAUUUACAUGAAAGUACCUGGUAUUUAGUUCUGUAGAUUUUGACUGCAGCAGCAUGGGAUAGGAUAAUGUUGUGGGCUGCAAUAAAAGGCUCUUUCUCUGAAUCCCCAUUAGUGCAGUUUCCAAAUAAGCCAGAACAGCGAGAUGGAGGGUAAAUCCCUGACUGAUAGCCUCGAAUGACUACAACAUUCGGCUCAUUAAAGGUAGCCCAGUAUUUCACCCUGUCUCCAAAGUAUUUGAAGCAAAUGUCUGCAUAAUACUCAAAAUCUUCCCUGGAAAAUUUACGAUCUGCAUUAGUCGGAAACCUUAAUGUCUACUCCAUAAAAGCAUAAGAGAAUGCCGCUCACUGCACUUCGCGACUUAGCCAAGCUCCAUAUCUGUCUUCAAGCUCUUGAGGAAUGUCAUAAUGAGUCAAAGUCACAAAGGGCUGGAUCCCUGAAAUCAGAAGCAAUCAACAUUUCAAUGGAAGUUUUAUGUCAGAACUUAACUAUAUUUCGAUAAUGCUAAUGAAUUAUGAUGAUCGUUACUUGUGUCACUUGACUAGAGUUGAUACCUUUUAGAAGAAGAGCAUUGAUUAACUUGUUAUAAUGAUCAAUGCCAGCCCAAUUCACAUCUCCAAAUCUUCCCUCUUGUUAGAAGUUAAGAAGAUGACACUUAGUUAGAAACAAGCUGAAAUUAAUGAUAUAUUCGGAAAUUGAAUAUGCAUUCCUUUUAGGGAUGGCAAAAAUUCCCACGGGACAGAAUCUUUGGGGAUUUUUCUUAUUUGGAGAGGGUAUAAGGAUAAUUUUAUACCUAAUUUUUUAUUCGGGGAAGAGACAGAUAAUUUUUUACCCACUUUCUUAUUCGGGGAAGGGACGGUGAUGAGGUAGAAUCCCCAUCUCCUACCCAUUUCCCCACUUCCUCGUAUUAAUUUUUAAUUUUGAUUUUUUUUUUAGAAUUAUUAAUAAAUGAAUAAUGAAAUUUAAAUUAUAAAAUAUUAAAUAUUAAAUAUUAAAUAUUAGUAUAAAUAACAAAUAUCAAAAUAUUUAUACAAAUCUGUUAUAAAAGCCCACUUAACUAGUUGUAGUCAUGAAUUAUCAUUCAACCAAACCUUAUUCUAAAAGUCUUGGUCAAAAACUGUUUUAGAUUAUGAGUCAUAUUCCUUAUAUUAUUUUUAUUAUUUUAAAUUUGAAACCUGAUAUUAUCUCUCAAUUUGUCAUAUUCCUCGAGGAAGAACAAGAGAAGCAUGAGGUGCAAGAGUAAAUGUUUUUAUUAAAAAUAUUAAUUUCAGUAUUUAUACUCAUUUCAUUUAUUUCAUUACUGAUAUAAAAGUACUUUCUUUUUAUUAUAGGAUUAUGAAGAUUGACGAAAAUAAUUAUUCUGAUAAUUUGUAUUUUUUAAUGUGAUUUUUGUAAUGGAUUAAUAUUAGUGUGAGAUAUAUUAUCAAACCUUACUUUUGUUUAAAAUUUUAUUUUAAUAUAAUUAAAUCAAGUUUAGAAUUUAAAUUUAAACACGUAUUAGUUAUUCAGGGAUCGGAGAUUCCCUCUCAUUAUUUGAGGAGGGGACAUGGAUCCCUUCAAUCAAUUUUAAUCGGGACGGAGAGGAUAUAGGGAUAUAUACAGAAUAUUGGAAAUGGGUACGGAGAUACCGGUCCCCUCCCCUUCCCUCUCCAUUACCUUCCCUAAUUCCUUUCAAUGAAUUAAAAGGACUCACUGGGUAAAACUCUUGCCCAUGAUAUAGAGAAACGGUAGCUGUUGACUCCAAGGUAGUCCAUGAGAUCCAAAUCUUGCUGUUCUAUCAUAUCAUCAAAAAUCAAAAUUACCAGUUUUCAUAUCUGUAAAAAUUUUCACUACUAAAACCCCAAUCCAUCUUUUAAAUUAGGAGCCGCUGUAUUUCCUCAUUAUUUGUCACAAAAUAUGACGUAAUGCCCUUCCCUAGAAUUGUCACUAGGCUCAGUUUGCAAUUGUCGGUCCAUGUAAAGAAUUUUUCUCGUGCAGAAUAUGAAUGGAGACACUAUCAUCACAUUAUUACAAAUUAUUUGACUGGUGACCACAUGCAGGGCCGGCUUUAGAGUUUGAGGGGUCUUAGGCGAAAUUUUUUUAUGAGGCCUCUAUUAUUUUGUAAUUUUAAUACUCAAAGACAUGUAAAGAGGAUCAAAAUUUAUUCUAUCUUUAAUUCUUGAAUUUCAACAAUAAUAAAAAAAAAUCAAAAAUUUAAAAAAUAAAACCUAAAAAACAGUCAAGAAGAUUAAUUUUUUUAUUCCAUUAAAACCGUUAAAAAACAAACAAACAAAUAAAAAAAAUUAUUUUCAAAUAGAAUAUUUAGAAUGAUAGAAUGUUUAGAAUGAUAGAAUAUAACAAUUUUAAAAUGAUGAGUUGAUGUUCAAAAAUAAAAAUGGACUUUAUAUUUUAAGAAACUAAUUAUUUUAAAUGAACCAAUGAAUAUAAUAAUUUUAUUUGUAGAGAAGAGAACAAGAAAUUUUUUUCAUUUACUAAUUUUUUCAUUUACUAAUUCUUGAGAUUAUGAGGUUUUUAAUAGAAAUUAAAAGAAAUAUUAAAAUUCAAAUAUGCUAAUAUUGAAUAAUUGAAAAGGAAUGAAGGUUAAAGAAUAUUAUUAAUUAUAUUUCUCUAAAAUUAAGGUUCCUAAAUAUAGAUUUUUUAUAAAAAAUAAUUCUUAAUUAUAGAAUAAUUAAGAAUAGAGAGAUAUCUAAUAAAAUUUUUGAUUUCUUAAAAUACGUAUUAAAAAUAUUUUAUUAAUUAGAAAAUUAUUAAAGAAAUACUCAAAAAAUGAGGCCUUCUUAAAAUAUGAGACCUUAGGCGACAGCCUUGUUCGCCUAUACCUAAAGCCACCCCUGACCACAUGAGCAUAAAAUGAAUCAAAACAGAAAAAAUUGCGGACAGAAAAUAAAAUUGCCAAUUCAGAGAAGAAAUAUAUCUUGAGAUGCACCCAAAUUUAGAGCUACUAUACAAUGACAAGUGAGGUCUUAUAAUCUAAUAAUUCAAUCAAAUUAGCAUAGAAAUCUAAGGUCUAGGAUACAUCAUAAUCAGCGGUCUGCGUCCAAAGCUUUCAAAUACAUUUGACAUAUUACCAAAUAAAAUCUCAUAUAAGAUGUUAUACCGCUAUCAUACGUCUCUAGAACUAAGUUGAUUUGACCUAAUCUCAAUCAGUUAAAUCAUUAAAUUAUUAUUUUUUUAACUUAACAAAAAUUUUCAAUCAUUAGCUAACUAAAUUAUUAAACUAAUUUUUUUUAGUUUUUUUUCUUAAUAAUAUUAUUAAAAGAUAUUCUCUAAAUUAUAUUUUUCUAAUUAAUUAAUUUUUAUCUUUAUCUAAAUAAAAUUUAAUAAUUAGCAUUAUUACUCAUCUUUAUAACUUGUGAUAAUAUAGUGGUAGACUAUUAUUAUUUUUAUCUUUUUUAUUUUCUUCAAAUUAACAUUAUUUAUCUUCAUAAUUUUUAUGAAUAUUUUUUAUAUAAAAAUAUCAUGAAUUAUAAGAAAAUUGAUUAACAUAUACUGAUUUAGAAUAUAAAGGAUUAUAUUCAAUUGAAGAUAAUUUAUGUUACGAUAUCUUUAAACUCUUUGAAAUGCUUAUUAUUUAUUUAACAUUUAUUAUUUGUAACGGCACAAGUGCAAAAGUACUAGUUUUUAAAUUUUUUAAGUUAAAAAAGAAACAAUUCAAUAUUUAUUUUUAAGUAAUUUAAAAAAAAUAAACAUAUUAUUCAGAUUUAGAGAUCUAGUUCUAUUCAUAAUUAAAACUAAUUUAUAUCUAUUCAGAUUUAAAAAUUAAAAAACAAAAAAACAAAAGUCACCUAACAUUCAUAAACACAUAUAUUUUGCUAAAAUAUGAACUAUGCCGCUGGUUUAGAAUUCGAUUGCAAAUGCAUGGAGCAAGUCCUAGCCAGUAUUCUCUGGUGCCGGAAUUGGAAAAAAGAUUGGAUUUAAAUUGACUAAUCGGUCAGCGGCCAGAGAAUCACAAUUUUGGCUAACUAAUUUACAGACAAAACCUCUUAGAUAAUAAGAAAUUUGGACAGAAUCUUUUUGAGAAAUCCAAGUUGUAUAUGUUGAUGUGAAUUAAGAAUCUUUUUGUAAUGUGCGAGAAAUUUAUUUGUGAAUACAAACACCAAGGAGCAGCUAACAGCUCAGAAUUAGAGAGCUACUUUUAUUUUUAUCAAGGGGCGCAUAAAAAUAAAGUUCAAUUUCAAAGCAUGAAUUUGAGUUACCAGAUAUCGAUGGUAAUGAUCCACAGCAACAUCUCCAUUACUUCCAUCCAUGAUGUUUCCUGCAACAAGUUAUCUCGAAUAUUUCUUAAAAGCAAAAGGGAAUGAUGGAAAUAACAUGAAGCAUCAAAGCUGGCUGUGAAACAUAAUUGACCCAAAUUCUGACCAGGCUUGUGGGUAAAAUUGUCCCAGUUGUUUAGGCCUUUUCCAUCAGUCAGGAAAGCUCCUUCAUACUGCAAAGACCGAAAGCAUACAAUAAUAAUCCAUAGAACCUGAAACAAUCUGACUGUUGUAGAGGUUGCGUAAGAAAGAACCUGAUAAGAAGAAGAUGCAGUUCCAAAAAGGAAACUUCUGGGGAAUGGAGAUGAACUGAAUUCUCCAUUCACUUUGAUAACGGGAUUACAUGAUACCAAUAGUACUAAAAAGCAAAUUCCAAGCAGAAAGAACGCAUGAUAUAACAAUGGAAACUCCAUAACAGUGAAUCUGAAGCUGUCCUCAACUCACCAGUUGCAAAGAAAUAAAAUAGAGUGGUGACUCUGGUAGCACAAUCCGAGAGAUGUUUUUCAGAAACUGAAAACGGAAUGGCCCUCUUGACGUCCAACACUUGUAAUUGCUAAGUAUUACUUGGCUGAAUGUCAUGUAGACAUAUAUAUAUAUAUAUAUAUAUAUAUAUUGUGAACUUUCAGAAAAUGCCAACACCAAAUUUCGUAAAAUUGAAUCCAUUAUCUUAAAAGGCUUAAAUUGCGGGAAUUUGUCCCAGCCAUACCCCAAAAAUAGGGUAUUUAUCUAAAUACACUCUCAUACUCCAAAAUUCCUCAUAUAUACAUUUUUCUACGUGUAAUUACGGAAUUACCCUAAUUUAAAACCUAAGUCAUUAUGACCAUUCAUGAUCAGGCCGUGGAACACAACACCCAAUUUCACCUAAUUCAAACCUUCCUCAAGAUUGAAUCCGAUCAAAACCAAAAAAAAAAAAAAAGAGUGAAGCGUCAUUCGCCAGGCUCGAUUGCGGUCCUUUCGGUGGGCUAUUAGAUGAGGCCAACACCCACAACACUUUGCUGCUGUUACUUCAUGUCUUUGUUAUCGCUUGUUCUAGCCCCACAAACUUGCUG